GAGAGAGAGAGAGAGAGAGAGAGAGAGAGAGAGAGAGAGAGAGGAGAGGGGAGGGGGAGGGAGGGGAGGGGAAGGGGGAGGAGGAAAUAUCCGGGAGGAUACAUAGACAUAUGGAGUCCUGACAAGAGAGAAGAGAGAGAAGGUAUGACAAGACACAAGGUAUGGUUUGCAAGGCUAGCAGUUACAAACGCAGUUACAAAUGCCCUGGGCUCUAGAUACAGGCAGGUCAGAGAACAAGGGCAGGAAAGAAGAAAGGAGUUAGGAGAGAGACCUGCGAUUUGAACAUGACUUGUCCACCUGAAGGUCACGAGGUUUGUUUUGCAUCAGUGUUUGUUUGGUAACGGGAUGAGCCCUUAGGAGUUGAUGAGGUUUGUCCUUUCAGGAGAAAGCCAUCAUAAAGAGAGGGUGCUUCUCAGUUCUCACCCUCACACCACCUGCUAAGAGGCAUAGAGCAACAUUAUACCUCCUUGGUACCAGACACUAGGACUCCCGAGGCUCCAAAACAGCAUUUGUUAUAGCGGCUCAGGAAUUUUGUUAUAGCAACAAAAAGUGAACAGAGAUAGGGUGUUUAAAAAAAAAAGGCCUAUUUCAGAGGCGCCGCCCCUGUGACAGCUCUCACAAAAGUCCCUCCCUUACAAAUAGGUAAGAGGUCAUGUCUGUGUUCCCCGUUCUCCAGUAGGAAAGGGUAGGUCAAUGCUGGGAGAGAGACUGACACAGGAUGAGACCUUGGCUUGUAUAUUCCACAGAGUACCAGGGAAGGAGGAAGAGGAGAGAAGAUUCUUCUGUAGCACCCUCCUUCCCACUGCGGCCAACUCUCCUGAAAUAAUCUUCAUCCCACUCCAGGGGUGGGGUGUGCCUUCCCGGAAGUUCCUAAAAAGCUGGAGAAACAUUUCUCAUGGAUUCCAUGGAGCAAGACAACACAGAAAGGAAGCAGGAGGUCACAGGAUCCCAACUCAGGAGGGUACCUCGCCUGUUUUUACCCCAGGCACCUCCCUGAGGCAGUCACUGUUACACUGUUACACUGUCCUCUGUCCCCUCAGCCAGAGCCCAGCCCUCAGGAUUGCACUCACAACCCCCACCCCCCAGUGCCCUAACACUCCCUCCUGGAUUGUCUCUUCCAUGCUGUCUUUUUUCCUGUCAGCUCCCUCCCCACACCAAGCUUCACUGUGCAAGGCACUUACCUGGAGGUGUGGGGACACAUAGAGCAAACUGUUAGAAGUGAAUCUCUCCCUCAAGGACAUUAGCCCUCUCAGGGGAGGGGACAUAGUCGCACAGAGUCUAACUUGGAGGUCGACAGGUUGUAACAUAUCUUAUUGUGAGGUGGCAUAGUUUGCUCUGCUACAGGGUACUUUCAGUGUCAUCUACAGACAACAAGUGGCCUCUGAGCUGAAAGAUCUCUUCUUGACACAGGUUGGGCAGUGAAAGAAGCCUGUUUGCAUUUUGUCCCCUGGGGUAACUGAGUGAGAGCUGCUUUCUCUGCAUGCUGCCCUCUGCGUGUAAUAUUGGGCCACCAACAAGGCCUUCUCAGUAUUUUUUUGCUUCUUAUCUCUUGGGGGAUCAGACUUUACCCUGUAAUUCUCAUCCGGUUGUGUCUGGACUCCAUUCUCAUGAGGACGAGGGCAAAGUGCUCUGUGUGUUUCAGCUUUCCUCUCCUGAUAUUGUGCGAUCAGUGUGGAAGCAACAAGUGAUGCGUCCACCGUUUCCACACAGUGCUGUGCCCGGGAGGCUCACAGGAAGGCUUAUAGUCAUUAGCGCCCAUUUCUCUGGUCAGUACUUCAACGCGACUUUCCUCUAGGAGCGAUGACAACCUUCAAGGUUGUCCUGCAGUCUAGGAAGACCAAGAUAACAAAUGGUGGCUGACAGCUUAAAACAAGAUGCACUGUUAAAACUGGGAAGAUCUGGAGCCUGGAGAGAUAACUCGGUGGUUAAGAGCACUGACUGCUCCUCCAGAGGUCCUGAGUUCAAUUCCCAGCAACCACAUGGUGGCUCACAACCAUCUGUAAUGGGAUCAGAGGCCCUCCUCUGGUGUAUUUGAGAGUAUUCACAUGCAUAAAGUAAAAAUAAAUAAAUAAUUCCUUAAAAGUUUAAAAAAAAAAAAGCCCAGGGAGGAUUUAUUGUGAGGAAGAGAGACCUGCAAGGAUUUUUGUCUGGUAAGAAAUUUUAGAGGACAUAAUUCAAAGGAGGGGGAGGGAGAGAGAGGGAAAGGGGAAGGAAGGGAAAGACAGAGAGAGGAGAGAGAGAGAAAGAGAGAGAGAGAGAGAGAGAGAGAGAGAGAGAGGGAGGGAGGGAGGGAGAGAGAGAGAGAGCGCACAGAGGAGAGGAGAAGACUCCAUUUUUAUUUCUACUCUAACUCCCCCUGGAAUCUUGGUCAACUUGCUUUCUCCUGUGCCUCAGAUUCCCCAUGGAUGAAAUGAGGUUGCUGAGGGGCUUUGUGAUGAGAGGCACCAGCUAUGGUUUCUGUUCCUUCACCUUUACAACCCUAAUGGGAUCUUGUUGUGCUCUCCUCAGUAAUCCCUUGACUAAAUACUCAAAAUGAACCACGGAGAAGCUCAACCGUGUCAUCGCUUGGCCAAAGCCGUGAUUCCUACCUAGUGUGGCUCUCACAAGCCACUCCUUGCACUUUAGGACUCACCAUCUCUGUGACUCACCACAGACUCACCUUGCAUCUGUGGCACUGGCUUAAGGAGGGAGAGCGGGGUUGGGGAUUUAGCUCAGUGGUAGAGCGCUUGCCUAGCUAGCGCAAGGCCCUGGAUUCGGUCCCCAGCUCCGAAAAAAAAAAAAAAAAAAGGAGGGAAGGGAGAGCAACAAGCUGGGAGCCCUCUCCCUCCUUCCACAGUCCAAAAGAAAUGCCUCAAGGUACAGAGAAAAUUCCAAUUGGCUACACCCGCCAUCUCGGCCACCUCCCGGGCCUUCAGUUACUAACAAUGGGCAGAUGCUUUGGCAGACAAGACCACUCACACCCCUGAGAGUUGUAGCCUGGGCUACAGACCUGCCAGGACAAGAUAGGCAUCUCCAUUGUGACCUCACCACUGGCCUAUGUAAAGCUGAGACAGCCACCAAGUUGUGUCCCCUGUACAACUCCAUUAGCAUGCUAACUACUGUCCAAGCAAGCAGCUGCUAAUUAGCUAGUGUUUACCCAACAGCACUCUUUGCAGACAGGAGCUCUUUGCAAACACCCUAACGGGGAGCUAGCAUCAACUACAAGUCUAGCCACUUUGGAGUAAUGUGAAAGAUCCAUUAUAGAGUCCCUGCAACAAGAGUUCUUCCGCCCACACUCCGAGAGACAACUGUGUGGGAGCUGGGAGGCGAGGGUGCCAGGCUGGCGAGAUCUCAGUGGGUAACAGCUUGUGCCACCAGGCUUGGGGACCAGUUGGAUUCCUGGGGGCCACCUGGUAGAAAAAGUGAAGGGAUUCCCAAACGUUGUCUUCUGACCUCUACCCAUGCAUGUCCUUCUGCAUGAAUAAAUGCAAUUCUAAAAAGUAAAGAGGAGGCAGAUCUCUGCUCUAAAACAUGGCAGCCCGAGGGAACUUUCUGAUGACAUACAUCUCUUCGUGCUGCCCAGUAAGAUGACUACAGCCGCGUGUGUUCUCGAGCCCCUGGAAUGCAGCUACGACCACUGAGAACAAACAUAAGAUUUUAAAGCAUGCUUAGUGUCUGUUGCUUCUCAUUGGAAGUAGCCAUACGUGGUUGAGAGCUACCAUCCUGGGCCAUGUAAGAUGCUCUACUACUCAGUAUGGUUUGCAGACAAGAUUAUCACCUUACCUCAAGAUGGUUGGUCCCACUUUGGACCUACUAAAUCAGAAUGUACAUUUAACAAGGCCCUGGGGUCAUUCGUUUGCACAUUAAGACUUAAGCAUGGGCUAGGGUGGUUGUUUGUGUGCUAGAACCACUUGGAAGAGCUUUUAGAAUCCGUAUUCUAAAAGUUGAACCCCAGAUUCAUUAAACCAGAAUUUCUCGGAUGGGCAUUCCAAGGCACAAGCAUUUCUGAAGGGCCCCAGGAGAGCACAACUUAUGUCCAAGGCUGAGAAUGGUUGUCCUCGGGCCCUGCAGCCAGUUGGGGUUACUCUAAUGGAUGAGGCCAUGUGAGAACCAGCGACUUCCCCCCUCGCCUCUGAAUUCACUCGUUGGUCCCAGUCAGUUGGGAAGUCAACAGGACUUAUUCAUCCCUCGACGAGUGUAAGAACUGGCUGGGAUCUGUGUUUGUUUCCAGUAUCUAAGCGAGAUGUUCAUUAGUUUUUGACAAAACAUGUCCAAAUACCACACCAGGAAAGGGUACUGAACAAGCUGGGGUGACUGAAGUCUGAUUCACUUCCUCCCUCUGGGGCCUGCAGAACCCUGGCAUCCCCAAGCAGCCAGUGCCCAUGAACAGAGCCAUUCUUCCCAUGCAGGAUGGAGGGAGGCUGCUGCUGCUUCCAAGGUUGGGAGGCUGCCUGCUCCUCCUCCUGCACCUCAGAAAGUGUCCAAGGGCCCAGAGCGAAGAGCUGAGUUUUCCUGAAGAGCUGGGUUCUCCCAUGGUGUUGAUCGGAACCAGGCCUUGGAGGCCCAGGCGUGCUUUCUAGUGCCGAAUUAUAUUUGCCUGGAUCAGUGUUCAUCCAUGAGCUGGUGAGGGCUUGAGAAAUUUGUGUCUGAAAUAAGCUUUGAGGAAACUGAGUCCUGUGAGCAGAGAGGCUGUCCCAAGGGCUCGAGCUGCCAGUGGAGCAUGGAUUGACUGACAGGUUCACAGAGGAAGAGCAUCUUCGGUCCAGACAAUGCAGAUGUACAGGGCUUUACUCUGGAAGUGGGAUUCCCCAGCUGUUCUGUCCAUCUGUAGCUUAGCGUAGGUGUCUUACUGUGCCUAUGGAGUUUCUUGAGCUUUGUGGCCACAGUUCUUCUGGUGUACUUGUUUCAUACACGCCUUCGAGGACUUGGUCAAGACAGAUGAGCCCUUGGGAAGGUUACAAGAGGGCAAACCAUUGUGCUUUGCCAGUGUUGGGGUAAGGGAGAAGAACAUGCCGUCGUUGGUUGUGUCCUAAGACACCAAAGCAAGAUGAUGCCUCUGCUGCCCUGCUCUCCACGGGCAGGUGGCCAGCAUUCUGGACCACAAGCCACACCUGAGGGAAGCCUCUCUCUCUCUGGGCUCUGACUGGGUCUGAGCCCAGCUCCCAAGGAGAGUCAAGAAAGGCAGGGAGCACUGUUUCCUUCCUUCUUUCCUUCCUUCUUGAUGGCCACCUAUCCCCAGCAAGAGAGAGCGGGUCUUUAUCUCCACCAGUGGCUUUAGCCCAGUUGCUUUUCUUUCUUUCCAUGAAGUGGUGCUCCUCCCCCAGGUCCUGCUGCUGUCUGGUAUCACAAUCAGCACUUUGUUAAAUGUCCCCUCAUUUUUAAUGGCACUUCCUUUCAAAGCCGUACGUAACACACCAGGGCCCAGCCGGCUCCUUGAGAGUAAAAUGUCUUAACCCUCUUGACUUACAGACUGGGUUGGGGGUUGGAGGGGGUGCCUUGGGUCAGUACUAAACCCAUGAAAAACUCAUUAAUAACGGCCCACCUUUAUUUAAAAAUGUGAUGUUUUACCGUGGAUCUCUUAUACUAACAUAUAUUUGAAAUAUAAUAAAUAUUGUUCAUAUUAUUUUCUAAGCCUUCUGAUGCUAACAGAUUAACAGUAAUUUGAUUGGACCCCGAGGGUUGAGGAUGUGGCUCAGUUGAGGGACUCUUGUUUGGCGUGUGUGAGGCUCUGGGUUCAAUUCCCAGCACUGCAAAAUUAAAUAAAAGUCACAUGCCUUUAAUCCUAACACUCGGGGGGGGGGGGGUUAGAGGCAGGUCGAUCUUUGUGAGUUUAAGGACAGCUUGGUCUACAUAGUGAGUGCCUAAACAGACAUCAAUAAUACACAAUGAGGGGGCUGGGGAUUUAGCUCAGUGGUAGAGCGCUUACCUAGGAAGCGCAAGACCCUGGGUUCGGUCCCCAGCUCCGAAAAAAAGAACCAAAAAAAAAAAAAAUAAUAAUACACAAUGAGAUCCUAGGUAGUGGCUUGAAUAAGCUUGGCCCCGGGAGUGGCACUAUUAGGAGGUGUGGCCAUGUUGGAGGGAGUGUGACCUUGUUGGAGGGUGUGUGUCACUGUAGCAGCGGGCAAUGAGACCUUUCUAACCACUUUUUCUAGAGGCCUUCAGAUGAGGAUAUAGAACUCUCAGCUUCUCCUGCGCCAUGACUGCCUGGAUGCUGCCAUGCUCCCGCCUUGAUGAUAAUGGACUGAACCUCUGAACCUGUAAGCCAGCCCCAAUGAAAUGUUGUGUUUAUAAGAGUUGUCUUGGUCAUGGCGUCUGUUCGCAGCAGUAAAACCCCCUAAGUAAGACCCCCCUCCCGUGUAAGCAAACAAACAAACCAAUAAAUUAAAUGCAAAACCACAACGCAACACUGAAUCUGUGCACCAAGUACAGCAGGAUAACAUGGCUGUAAACCCAGGGCCUAUGAGGCUGAGACAGGAGGAUCGAGAGUUCAAGUCAACCUGGGAAGUGAGACGCUGUCCUAAUGGAAGGAAAGGAGGGAGGGAGAAAGGGAGGGAGGGAGAGAGAGAAAGAGGGAGGGAGGGAAGAGGGGAGGGAGGGAGGGAAAUCAAUUUGCAGACUUGACUAGGUGACACUGGUGUCGGAAGUAAAAGAGAACAUGAGUGCCUUGUCCACCUCUUUCUCUUUUGUCAGCCUCAAGUACUUCGGAGAAGGGGAGAGUUCUAUCUCAUGGCACAGCACAUUCAGGGGUUAUGUGCACAGCUGCACAGUCAAAGAACCAAAGACAUCUGAAAGUUCGAUAAACUUCACGCUAUCCUCUAAAUAUGGCGUAGUUGCAAAACAGAGACAGUGGUGCAGCAGGGAGCUGAGAUCCAGGGACAGACCGGCUGUGUAGCUGGACUGCUGACCUGCACUGCCUUUAAAGCCAGGGAGCCUCCGUCCCUCGCUAACCCAGCCAGCACUUUCCAAACCUUGCUUUGCUACACUGUGUCUUCUCCACAGCUUUCUUCCCCAUAGGCAUUUUGUGGGGCACAGCCCAGCCUUAGGACACAGGGUAACGAGAACCCAGCAGCUACAGGUAAAGUCUUUCUUCUUCUUCUGCAACGACUGUCCUGCCUGGUGGUCCUGUGUGUGGCCAUGCCCUGCUUUCCCAUCCAGUAACCUGGUGGCCAUUUCUGCCCACCCUCCCUCCUCUAGGGUUGUAUGACAGGACCAUGCAACAUCUACAGAGUUCCCACUAAAGUGCCUCUUAUGGUCGUAUGUUCACAUUUAUUUUAUGGUGUAUGGCUUCUUUUGCAUAAUGUCAAGAUUCUUCUCUCUUGCCUUUAGAUUUCUUUCCAGUUUUGUAUUUACAUUUCAAUAUUUAUUUAUUGUUUAUUCAUUUCGGUUACUUUUAAGAUAAGGUUUCUCUGUGUAGCCCUGGCUGUCCUAGAACUCACUCUGUAGGCCAGUCUGGCUUCCAACUCAGAGAUCUGCCUGCCUCUGCCUCCCGAGGGCUGGGAUCUAGGUGUGGGCAACCACACCUGGCUAAAAUUUCAACUUUUGACCUGCACACAAUUGACGGUAUCUUAUGACUUGAGAAGUGCAUCCUCCUAGUUGUUCUAGGACAUUUACAUUAAAUCACACUCAGUAAUUUAUAGGACAUUACAGGAAUGUCUCCCAUUCCCGCCUCAAAAGGGAGAACUCUGGUCAUCGAAGCUGUUUUGGGGCCUAUCAGUCCUGCCUCUCCCCGAUGCAUCCAGGCACAAAAGUCAUAACUCUUUUUCUUUGAAUGUCUUACUCAAGGACAGGCUUGUCCUUGAGUCUGGGGCAGUAGGAUGGGACAGCUGUUGGGUAUUCAGGUCUCCUUGCUGCCCCAUUGUCUCCAAAGAGCCCCUCUCACACAUCUAAAAGUUUGUGCCCUGGUAACUCUUCUUAAAAGAAAAACAGAGCUGGGCAUUAAUUCCACGCAGAGGCAGGUAAGUUCCAGAACAGCCAGGGAUACAUGGUGAAACCUAGUCUCAAAAAUAAAUAGAAAAAGCAAAAACAGAAACAGAAAACAUGUAACUCGUUGUAGUGGUAUGAAUUAAAAUGGCCCCCACAGACCCAAAGAGGGUGACACUAUUCGUAGGUGUGGUCUUGUUAAGAGGAAGCAUGUCACUGGGGACAGGCUUUGAGGUUUCAGAUGCUCAGACCUGGCCCACUGUCUCUUCCUGCUUCCUGCUUCCUGCUGAUGGAGGGUGGUUUGAUCUGUGGGGACCUGGUUCAAGGUUUUCAAAGGAGAAUGUUAGUGUGUAGCCUAAAGACCAUUCUUGUGAUACAUGGGCAAAGAAUGUGGCUGCUUUUUGUCUUUGUCCAAAAAAUCUGCCUGAGGGUCAACUGAAGAGUUAUGAUUUUAGCAGCUUUGGCCCAGGAAAUUUCUAAACCGUCUAGUAUUGACUGUGUUACUUGGUUAUUAGUGGCCAUUCUUAUGCAGAUCUAUAAUGAAAGGGAGCAGGUUGAACAAGGAAAAACACAAAAGAUACAGUUGGAAGAGAAAAAGGGGAGCCAGGAAGUGUAAACAGGAUACAUAAACAGAUUAAAGAGAAGCCUGACAGCAACCAACAGAUUGGGAAAAGAUCUUACCAAUACUACAUCCCAUAGAGACUAAUAUCCAAUAUAUACAAAGAACUCAAGAACUUAGGCUCCAGAGAAUCAAAUAACUCUAUUAAAAAAUAGGGUACAGAGAUAAACAAAGAAUUCUCAGCUGAGGAAUAUGGAUGACUGAGAAACACCUAAAGAAAUGCUCAACAUCCUUAGUCAUCAGGGAAAUGCAAAUCAAAACAACCCUGAGAUUCCACCUCACACCAGUCAGAGUGGCUAAGAUCAAAAACUCAGGUGACAGCAGAUGCUGGCGAGGAUGUGGAGAAAGAGGAACACUCCUCCAUUGUUGGUGAGAUUGCAAGCUGGUAUAACCAUUCUGGAAAUCAGUCUGGAGGUUCCUCAGAAAAUUGGACAUUGAACUGCCUGAGGAUCCAGCUAUACCUCUCUUGGGCAUAUACCCAAAAGAUGCCCCAACAUAUAACAAAGACACGUGCUUCACUAUGUUCAUAGAAACCUUAUUUAUAAUAGGCAGAAGCUGGGAAAAGCCCAGAUGCCCUUCAACAGAGGAAUGGAUACAGAAUAUAUGGUACAUCUACACAAUGGAGUACUACUCAGCUAUUAAAAACAAUGGCUUCAUGAAAUUCUUAGGCAAAUGGAUGGAGCUAGAAAACAUCAUCCUGAGUGAGGUAACUGAAUCACAAAAGAACACACAUGGUAUGCACUCACUGAUAAGUGGAUAUUUGCCCCAAACCUUGGAAUACCCAAGACACAAUUCACAGACAACAUGAAACCCAAGAAGAAGGAAGAAUAAAGUGUGGGUGCUUCAGUCCUUCUUAGAUGGGGGAACAAAUAUACUCACAGAAGGAAAUAUGGAGACAAAGUGUGGAGCAGAGUCUGAAGGAAAGGUCAUCCAGAGACUGCCACACAUGGGAAGCCAUCCCAUAUGCAGCCACCAAACCCAGACAUUAUGGCUGACGCCAAGAAGUGCUUGCUGACAGGAGCCUGAUAUAGCUGUCUCCUGAGAGGCUCUGCCAGAGCCUUACUGAUACUGAUGAAGAUGCUCGCAGCCAACCAUUGAACUGAGAACGGGGUUCCCCAGUGGAGGAGUUAGAGAAAGGACUGAAGUAGCUGAAGGGGUUUGCAACCCCAUAAGAACAACAACAAUAUCAACCAACCAGAGCUCCCAGGGACUAAACCACCAUCCUAAGAGUACACAUGGAGUGACUCAUGGCUCCAGCCACAUAUGUAGCAGAGGAUGGCCUUGUCAGACAUCAAAGAGAGGAGAGGCCCUUGGUCCUAGGAAGACUCGAUGCCCCAGUGUAGGGGAAUGUCAGGGUGGGGAGGUGGGAGGGAGUGGGUGAGUGGGUGGGUGAGCACCCUCAUAGAAGCUGGGGGAGAUAGCGGGUUUCUGGAGGGGAAAUCAGGAAAGGGGAUAACAUUUGAAAUGUAAAUAAAGAGAUAUCCAAUUUUUUAAAAAAGACUUCCUCCAAAAGAUUGAUCUAUAUAGGCAAAAACCAGCACACCAGCACAGGGGUGCAGCUGGAGAGCUUCUAAUGUGCGUAGGAAGCCAAGUGUCUGGAGUCUGUGCCUGGCUGUCACUGACAACUUACAGGUAGGCCCGGAGACCAGAGAUUCCUCGAUGUCCCCGAGUCCAAUACCAACAUGAAAACUGAGCAUCUGUGAGGGAAUGAGGGUGACCCAAGGAUUUGAGGGAGGGGAGGCAAAGGUGGGACACAGAGUUCAGCCGUAGAUGAAAUAGCUCUGGCCUUGUGUUAAAGCUAGUGAGUGAUGGGUGCUGGGGAACGUGUUAUAUUAUUCUCUCAUGAAAGAUGGAGGGGUGGGGGAGGAGGGAGAGGGAGGGAAGAGGGUGGGCAGGACCGAACAUGCCAGAUUGCGCUGAAAGGGCCGAGCCAGCCCGCAGUGAGCUAGCUACCUCCCUGAGCCUAGCAGCUCCUCUGUGACUUCCUGAAGCUGGAAACCGAGCAAGUUCAGACACACAUCCCCUCUUUCCCUCUGACCCCCACCCUCUAUCCUCUGCAUCUCAGAGAGAGGAACCAGAUUCCCCGAGGCCAUCUUUGUCUAACACAACCUUUCUGCCAAAUCUCCCAUCAGGAGCUAUGUGGGGCAGGGAAGGGGUCACCUGAGGCCCAGGGCUCUCUCCCUCCUCCAGUCCAGGAAGCAGAAGCCACACUGGCUGGGUGAGCUUGCACAGGAGAGAGUGAGGGCCACAGGUCUGGAUGUGCUUGAAGUAGAAAAUUCACAAAUUCCAAGUCCUGAUCCCAAAGCAAACUCCCCAGCCCAGGUGGCUGUGUCUAGCUUGUCCCCUUCACCAGCUCUGUGGAGCUUGGGAGGCCUGGCCGGAGGCUUUGAAAACCAGCUUGUGUUUGAGUUCUGAAAGCACCAAUGUCUGGGGUGUUUGUCCAGCAGAGAAGGGGCCUAUUUUCUCCCUUCCAAAUGCAACCUUGAAAGAUGCUCCAUGGAGUUUUUUUUUUUUUCUUCAGACUUUCCACAGGAAACAUAAACAAGGAAGAAAAAUGGCUGUAGGUGCUGAGACCUGAAGUGGAAUUUCAACCCCAAAGGAACUGCUUGGUAACAAGCGUCCUCUGUCCCAGUGUAAACUGUGAGAAAGUUGGCUGGUGGUGUGUGAGAAGCCUUCACAGACAGGCAAGGGGAGGAACUGGACCAGUUCUCAUGUCUGAUUCCAACGACGUCUCCUCUCCCUUCAAAGAACAGCCCUUGGUUAGGCUUAUCCACUGUAAGCGUCCCUGCCUAGUGUUAAGAGUGUGUGUGAGCCUGUGUGUUCACAGAGGUUAGUUCACGCUGGUGUUGGGGGUGCAUAUGCAGGCAAGAGAACAACCUUGGGGUGUUAUCAUCAGGAAUGCUGCCCAUCUCCUUUGAGUCUCCGACUGAGCUGGAGUCUACCGAUUCCUCUAGGUGGACUGGUCAGUGAGCCGCAGAGCCCUCCUGCCUCUGCCUCUCCAAUACUAGGAUCAAAUGCGUGCGCCACUGUGACUGCCAUUCUUAUAUGAAUUCUUGAGGUUUAACUCAGGUCUUCAUGCUUGUAAGGCAAUGUUUCGCCCACUAAGACACCCAUGCAGCUCUCUCUUUUUCUAGACGGUGUUCAGUGGGGUGCUCCCAUGCCAAGGGUCCAUCAACCUUGGGGACAUGCACCCCUGGAGCCUGAAGCCUACAGUUCACCGGCUUUCACCAAGGCACGAUGUCCUAGUCUGCAGUCAAAUGCUCUACCACUGAGCUAUACCCCUGAUGUCCUAGUGAUUUGCAAGCCAACACAACGUAAGAGCAGCUAUAAAGUGGUGUCUAAGUGACCCAUACAUGCACUGGGGGAAAAGUCAUGUAGGUAUUAAAAGUGCGUGUGUGUGUGUGUGUGUGUGUGUGUGUGUGUGUGUGUGUGUGUGCAUGUGUGAGCAAAGGUGCAUGUGUGUUAUGACAUAUGUGUGGAAGUCAAAGUGACAACUUCCUGGAGUGACUCCCUUCACAGUGGGCUCUGGGGAUCAAACUCAGGUCUUCAGGCUAGCACAGUAAGUCCUACUAUCUACCUAGUCGGGAAUCACAUAUUUGAUGUUCAUAGGUUAGAGCUGCCAGUAGACUGUUUCCAUGUUAGGAAUCUGCAAAUUAUGUCUAAAACCGUCUGAAACUAUUGAACACAAAGCUCCAGACCAAGAGACAGUGCUGUCGUCGUGGGUUGUCCUAGCAGUCUGGGGGCAGCCUGCUGGCUCAUCCGUAAUGGGCUACGAGGCAGCUGACUGGUUUGGGUAACUAGUGCCUCACAGCCACUGCUGUCUCUUGGCGUAGGAGAGCUUUAUUUCUUCCCUUGUAAGCUCUGUCUAGUAAAGACUUUGGACUCACAUCUUUUUUUUUUUUUUUUGUUCUUUUUUUUUUUUUUCGGAGCUGGGGAUCGAACCGAGGGCCUUGUGCUUCCUAGGCAAGCGCUCUACCACUGAGCUAAAUCCCCAACCCUGGGCUCACAUCUUAAAAUAUCUGUAUUAUCACUUCACGUAGCCCUGUGAUGAGGGCCCUAAAGAAAGCUGGGAGCAUCAUUCCAACUAGAGCUUGGCUUUGAGAUGUCAAAUUCCGAGACAGACUCAGAAAACACCGCUUCUUCUGACUGAGAUUUAUCUAUCCUCUUUAUCUGAAGCCAGUGAAAAAAACCAAAAGGCCUUGCUUGGCUCUAGCCUGAUCAGCACUUUCCAGGAAAGCCAGGCACCCGGGAGCCUGUCCCACGCUUGUGUGGGACAAGGAAGGGGAUUUCCCUCAAGAACUUUUUGUGAGGAGAUCCACUAGCUGUUGCUGGCUCUGAGAAGGAAUCUGGAGGAGGUCAGGAAAGGAGUCUUUCAGGUUGAGAGAGAGGUAGAUGUUGCCAGUGGGCAAGCAGCUUGUCUCUACAGACAGAUCUGGAGUCAGACAGCGAAGUAGGCUCUUCCACUCCAUCGCUAAGCACUGCUGUGCUUCCUCACCCAUCCUGAUGUGGGAUCAGGAUUGUUUCUGACUUCCAUUCUUUCCAAGAUUUUAGAAUACUUGAAUAUGCCUUCAGGCUAUAUGUUUAAUGUGUAUAAGAAAUAUUGUAAACUUCUGGUUUUGAAAUUUGAGUUAGGGAUGGUCAACCUGUCCUUCCAUCCAUCUGUCUGUCUAUCUAUCUAUCUAUCUAUCUAUCUAUCUAUCUAUCUAUCUAUCUAUCUAUCUAUCUACCUACCUACCUACCUAUCUAUCUUUCUAUCUAUCUAUCUAUCUAUCUAUCUAUCUAUCUAUCUAUCUAUCUAUCUAUCUAUCUAUCUAUCUAUCUACCUACCUAUCUAUCCUGUUUGUUUGUUAAGUCAGUGUCUCACUCUGUAGUCCAGGCUGUCCUGGAACUUACUACGUAGCCCAGGCUGACCUCAAGCCCACAGUGAUGAGCGUCACGCUCAGUUUCAUGAGCACUGAAAUUACAGGUGAGAGCCACAACAGCUGCCCAGCUGUUUUUCUACCGUUGCUUUUCAUUUGUUUGCUUCUGUUUCUGUUUUUUACUUUUGAAGUGCUUGUAUGUUUGUUAAGUCAGUGUCUCACUCUGUAGUCCAGGCUGUCCUGGAACUUACUACGUAGCCCAGGCUGACCUCAAGCCCACAGUGAUGAGCGUCACGCUCAGUUUCAUGAGCACUGAAAUUACAGGUGAGAGCCACAACAGCUGCCCAGCUGUUUUUCUACCGUUGCUUUUCAUUUGUUUGCUUCUGUUUCUGUUUUUUACUUUUGAAGUGCUUGUAUGUUUGUUAAGUCAGUGUCUCACUCUGUAGUCCAGGCUGUCCUGGAACUUACUACGUAGCCCAGGCUGACCUCAAGCCCACAGUGAUGAGCGUCACGCUCAGUUUCAUGAGCACUGAAAUUACAGGUGAGAGCCACAACAGCUGCCCAGCUGUUUUUCUACCGUUGCUUUUCAUUUGUUUGCUUCUGUUUCUGUUUUUUUACUUUUGAAGUGCUUGUAUGAUUAAGUAAGACAAAACAGAGGACUCUAGUACAAUGCCAGACCCAGGGCAUGGGCAAUUAGGGCCCUGUUCUAAUUAUGUUGGGUUGGAAAGAGGACAAAGGAGGAGUGUGGGAGCCACGGUGGGAGGAGUGCAGAUAGCAGUCCCUCACCCAGUCUCUGGAUGCCAGCGACAAGCGGCACUUGUCCAGAGAGCUCUGAUGUUUAUUAAGAACCCAUCUAUUAUUAAAGAAAGAAGAAGAGGAAGAAGAAGAAAGAAAGAAAGAAAGAAAGAAAGAAAGAAGAAAGGAAGGAAGGAAGAGAGAAAGAAGAAAGGAAGGAAGGAAGAAAGAAAGAGAAAGAAAGAAAGGAAGAGAGAAAGAAAGAAAGAAGAAAGGAAGGAAGGAAGAUGAAGAAAAGAAAGGACAGGAGAAAUAGCCAAGAGGUGGUGGUGGUACAUGCCUUUAACCCCUGCAGAGGUAGCAGAGGCAGGUGUACUGCUAAGAUCAAGGCCAGUCUGGAUUACAGAGAGAGUUCUAGAAUAACCAGGGCUAUACAGAGAAACCCUGUUUCAAAGAAAAAAAAAGAAAAGAAAAGAAAAAGAAAACAGAGAAGAAAAAGAAAAAAGAAAAGAAAAGAAAAAGAAAGAAGAAAAAAGGAAAGAAAGAAAAGAAACCGUCUAUAAAAUUACUGGAAAGGACUGGAAAGAUGGCUUGGCUGUUAAGAGCACUGACUGCCCUUGUCGAGGACCUGGGUUUGGUUUCCAGCAUCUACGUGCUGGCUCGUAACUCCAGCUCCCAGGAUCUGACAAUUCUUCUGACCUCCAUGGGCUCCUGCACUGAUGGUGCAGAUGCACACAACCAGGCACACACAGAGGAAAUAAAAACAUUUUUUUAUGAAGUUACUGCAAAUUGCAUUCAUAGUACCAUCUCUGCACAGGCCCUGAUGCCCAGGGUCUCAUUCACUUGUCCCUUGGUCUCACACUCAAGGUCCCCUACUGGGUUUUGUUUACUCUCUCUCUGUCUCUCUCUGUCUCUCUGUCUCUCUGUCUCUGUCUCUGUCUCUCUGUCUCUCUGUCUGUCUGUCUGUCUGUCUGUCUCUCUCUCUCUCUCUCUCUCUCUCUCUCUCUCUCUCUCUCUCAAAGCUUCCCUCGCUCCCCUGGCACUGAGUGAUUUCUGACGUGUCUUUUCCAAUGAGGUCACUUGACCUGGGAAAGCAAGGAGCAGAUCACAAGACAACACUCCCUGAGAGCAGAGGUGGCUGGGAAAUUUGGGGAGGGCCCUGUUCAAAUGAUAAUGUAGGGAGGGGAAUGAGAAGCUGACUAAAGAAAUUACUAAGCCAACAGCAGUCGGUGGUGUCCUCUGACUCCACACUUGAUCCCAGUUCUCACUCAACACUGCCUGGAUGUUGCGAUCUGAUGACCAACAGAUACAAUUUGGUUUGAACAAGAAAGGUCUACUCCGGAUGCCCCAAUGGCAUGGAUAAUCCUGGUCCAAAGAGCCCCAGCAACCUAUCCUGUUUCACAUGGCCAUGGUCCUUCUGUUCUCUGCCUGCCUGCACUGGCCAGACUCCUUCUCUUUAAGAGCUGCCCUCGCGAAAGAGACAACAACUAUUGGACUGGUCCUCAAGACCCUGCCCCCAGAAGCAGUCCCAUGCCCACUACACGCCAACCUCUCCAUAGCACCCAGGCACUUCCUGUUGAAGCCAGUUGGAGUUUCUUCCUUUGGUCUCCUCGUUCUCCCCUGAGCUUAGACUGCUCUAUGGCUGUGAACUGCCUAGCAGUGUCCUGCCUGUCCCUCAGCGUCUCCUGUCCUCCCUGCAGGUGAGAUAGCUAGCACAAUACAUGAUAGAAGGCAGCUUUCAGUGUGGUCUUGGGACUCCUGCGGACUACUAGCCUUGUGUCCUUUCUGCUAGACAGUUGUCUCACCUUCAGCGAGCAGGAGAUGGCAUCGUUAUCUACCGCCUCCCAUUCUGUUGGGGGACCCGAAUGGUAUGGGGUACCUGGAACAGAACAGGGUCUGUACUAACAGGUGUGUCUUCAUUGAAAGCUGAGCUCAGCUCUUGCCAAGAGCGUACCCCGUUGUCUUUUGACACUCAGCAGGUAUGCGAUAAACACUUGUUGGUUGCUUGUGUAUGUCCUGUACUGAGUUCCUUGUGGAUUCUCUUGAUUGGAAGUCCCUUAGAGCCCGAGAGCUGAGCCCCUUGGAAACUUGAGGGGUAUCUAUUCCUAGUCAUCCCACGGCCUCCUCUUCUCUGUGUAGUUAUUUCUCCAGGGCCCUUUCUCAAGCUUUGUCUUCGAACGUCAGCUUGCCCCAACAACCGGCAUCUUCCCACGAGUGGGUACAGUUGGCAGAGGGAGUAUUUGGACUUUCUCAGUGCAGGAGACUAAACAGGGAUGACAGAGAGGGUGUCUGGGGACAGACAGGGUGUGUCUGAAUAGACUAAGGAGGGGCUACAGCAUUUACCAGCCUCUACUAGUACCAGGCAUUGGAUUAGGAGGUUCGAGUCCUGCUGCUUGGUCCUGGCUUAGAUGGCUUCAGUUCCUGCUUAGAUGACUACAAAGUAUGGGGGGUGAGAUGAGUCUUGCAGCCACUCUGGAGCAUGUCAACCUCUCACUCCUUGCCCCCAUAUCCCUGGUAAGAAGUGCUGUGUUCCCUCCCUGCCUGCUUGCCACAUCUCCUUCCCACAGGAGCUUGCUCCCCUAGGCAGCAGUCCAGCAGUCUGUGCGAGUAGACUUCCCAGCUACUCAUGGCUUUGUUAGAAUCUCAUUAGCAGUGACAGAAAAGAGGCAUGGGGUGAGGCACUCCAGGUGGCAGUUAAAGAGGGGCCAGGGCAGUAAAGGCUAUUAGACCAUAACUAAGGUCAGCCCCCUCCCCCCCCAGAGAACAUAAAAUAAACAGAGGCCAGGAGAGGGGCAGGCGGUGACCAGAGUUGCAGGGUAGGGUCUCCAGCUUAGGCUGGGUCUUAAGUGGGCUGUCAGGUCUCUUGCUUGGUUUGGGGUGCUUAAGAGUUAAGGCCAGAGCAUCCUUCCUUAUGUAAGCUCUUAGAGUUGGGGCAGGGUUCAGGAGUCCAGAUCCCAGAGUCUCAGUAUAGCCAUUCCCAGGCCUGAAGGAAGGAGUAGGGAUUUAGCCAGAGUCCUGGGGAGGAGGGCAGAUGUAGUGACUGCUCAGGUCCGCAUAUCUAAGUUCUUAGGACUCCAGUGGCAUAUGUAUUCUUAGCUCCGUUGCAGAGAUAAGGACGCAGAUACCUGGGUGUGUUAUUUUGGGCUCUUGGAGAACUCACUGCAUCUCAACCUCCCAAUGAGACUCGGAGCUUCUAAACAAGGGACACAUUCCUUCAUUCCAUGUCUGGUUAUAAACAGUCCAAAUGUUUGUUGAGGCUGAGGUGACUUCUCUUGUAGAGGAACUAGUGUGAGUGUCCAGUAUCUAGAGUUCUCAGUCUUGCCCAGGAGAAGGGAGGCUCCCUGAGCUGAGGCACGGGCUCUGCUGAGGACAGUGGCCAUCCAGUGCUGCUCCAGAGAUCUGUUUGCCUUUGCUGUGCAGGGACCUGCCGAGGCUGUGUAUUUUUGUCAUAGCUGGCCAGGAAUGUGCAUGACUUACGGUUUUUUCUUUUUUUUUUUUUUAACCCGAGGCUUCGUCAUAAAGGAGCAUUGAGACUACAGUGAGUCUGGUUAUGAAAGACCUUCCUUUCUGAGGCUACUAGAGGAGGUUGGCUCCCCCACCCCUGGAGGGUUCUGGAAUGCUGUGCCCACCUUAGUUAGCUCUGGAAUGGUCCGAGAUGCCAGCGAAUCUGUAUGCCAGUCUAUGCUUUGUCCCCAUGUCCCUUCCCAGGCUUCUUGCUCUCUGUAUGUUCUUAGCUGAAAUCCUUCCUUACAGGAAACCUGCUCUGUGCCUUCCACUUCGGAGGCACACACAUCCCUGGACAAGUCACCUGACCUCAGCAAGUGUCAGUUUUGCCAACUGCAAAGGGAGCGUAAAAAUAUGCACCUCAAACUGUUGUGGUGUGGCAACACAGGUCCCUCGUCCUGGCUGGUAAGCUCUUGGAGCAUGUGUCCUGUUUAUUUACGUCUGUCGAGUACCUAACACAGUCCCUGGCACGCAGCACUGGGGACUGAGUGUUGACUAGCUCCAGCUGAUUGUGUGCAGUGAAUGGAGAAUGUGGGGAAUGUGUUGGGAGCCGCAAGCCCAGCUGGGCACUCAUUGAUCAGCAGUCAGGAAACCAUUAAUUGUGUCUGAGUCUACAUCUUUCCCUACAGAUUCAGAAGAUAGAGCACUCGGCCUUAUCCUGAGAGAACCUAGAGUUCCAAAGGAUCCAACUCCCUGUUUGUGGGGAACAUCAGAGGGCUUCAUCACUUCAAUUGCCUGCCCAGGAACCUUUCUUCUAGCCUGGACCCUCACUUCUGGGAAGGGCAGCCACUCUGGGGCAGUGGGCGUCCUCAUGUCGGCUCGGCUAGGCUGGGCCCCUCUUCAGAGAAGGGGUGGAGGGGUGUGAAGGACUGGUGUGUGUGACUUUGUUUAUUUUCUCUGAAGGAUCCUGCUAUAAAAAUAACCUGCCUGGAAACCUCAUCUCUGAGGGGGAGAAAGAAGCUUUUGUAUCUGAGGAAGUGGCUCUAACUGCAGCCCUGUGCCUGCCCCUGCCCCCACCAUCGAGGAGGGGCGGCUAAGGUGAGAGGGGCAGGGCCUGCAGAGGACUGGGAGCCUCUCUUCCCAGUACUGGAGGCCUCUCACAGGCCCGCUGGGUCUAGAAGCUCCGAAGGUAAGGAACAGUAAUGAGAGAGAAAAAGCUCAGACAGAGCAGAUACAGAGACAAAGGGUCCUAGAUGAAAGGAAACUCGGGUCCUGCAGAAGGGAGCAAAGGGUGAACUGGGGCCUGAAGUCAGAGAAAAAGCUGGGGGAGUUCAACUUGAGAGCUGCAGGGCCCGGGAACUCAGUGUGACACUGUGGCCAUGUUUCUAGACGCAGCUAAGAAUUUGAUCCGAUUCCCAACCCCCACUAUCUUUUCAUAGCUGAGGGACAAAGGCAGGGCAGGAGAUAGGAUGGCUGCCUGCUCUGCAGCUCAGCCUGUGGCAAAGGAAAAGACUACGAUUGCAGGUAACCACCAGGCCAGGCCUUGGGCUAGGUACAAGGUAAGGACCCAGCUGGGACCCUCAAGGUUCUCUUGCCCAGGAUCCAAAAAAAAGGACCUGGACUUGCGGGAGGCAUAUUCUCUCACUGUGUAGCUGACUCCUCCUAUCAAUCCAUUUUAACCCUUUGCAGACCAGUCUUCUUACCUGUAAACUACAGGUGACAAGCUCCCCUUGCCAAUUCAUUGAGACAUUGAGCAGAGCUGAGACACGGAAUCUUAAUGCACUACCUGUGUCGACAAGGCCCCCUUUUGGACGAUCUCCUCUAGGUGCAGCAGGUUAAAGGCGGCUGGCUGGUACUGACUUAUAAGUCACCAGAAUCUUGGGAACCAGCACCUCUGGUGCCCAGAAUGCCGAAAGAUUGGCUGUGUUUGCUGUGCCAAGAAGGCCGCUGAGAAGGCCGUAGAACAGCUAUCUGGACUAGACUGUGAACUACGAGUGAGGCCUUUGCUCAGAGGACUUUCCCAUGGGGUGUCAAUCCCUCAAACUUGUGACUGACCCACAGAACCAGGGGUUGGUAGGAACCAUUGAAGAUGCCCCUGAGCGUUCUGUCUAGGAGGUCGUGUCCCUGAGAGAAUGGGAUAUCAUUAGAGGGUGAUGCUUAUCUCCCACAAGUUGCGGGACUGGUGUUGGAGAAACACAAAUCAAUGGACCAAACAGAGCGGGGGACCCAGGAUGCCUUAGAACAAUGUUGUGAGGAGAAGCUUAAAAUGUUGUGGCCACAAGGCUAUCUUGAUAGAGUAGUUGCUGAUACUGGGAGAGAGAUUCAGGGCUGCAGAAGUCAUGGUUGGGAGUGGGAUCGCAGAGCUCCAGAGCUGAACCGAUUCCCUGGGGCCUGAGAGCAUAGGCCCAAGAGAGAAGCAAAGCACAGACUGUAGCACUGGGGCGGCUCUGAAACCCUGUGGUAGACUUGUGCCAGGCAGGGUGUCCAUAGGUAGAUGAAUGAAGAGAGCAUUGUACCUACACGAACGUUAGUCGGCCAUAAAAAGAAUUAAGACCCUGUCAUUUGUGGCAAUGUGGAUGAAACCUGAGGAUAAUUACAUGUUAAAAUUAGCCAGGCACAGCUAGACAAAUACCACGUUCAUUCAUCUGUGGAGGCCAAAAAUGUCAAUAUUAUAAAAGAAGAGACUAGAAUAAUGGUCACAAGAUACUGGGAGUGAGGACAGAGAUGAUGGGUACCAAAGACCAAGGAAUUCCUUGACGAUGGAGAGAUCGUUCAGCACUUAAUCUACAGGACAUGGGUUCAAUUCCCAGCACCCACAUGGUGGCUCACAACAACCUGUAACUCCACUUCUAGGGAACUCAACACUCUCUUCUGACUUCUGUGGGCAGCAGGCACAUUUAUGGUCCAUGGGCAUACCUUCAGGGAAGACACUUAUCCAUGUAAAAUAAAAGCGAGUAAUUCUUAGAUAAGAGAAAUUCCUUCUUAAUUUAGGAGACAUUUCACAACUAGAAAAGAACCCAACUAUUAUCUGAAUUUUUAAGUGUUUAGGGCAGUGAGAAUCCUGGCUCUUCACAUACAAUCAUUUUAUAUUCCGCAUAUAUACUAAACUAUCUGCACUCCUCACAUGGGUAAUAGAGCAAGUGCAUCCCCAAGCUGGCCCUUGCUGAAGUUCUGCUGACUGUGUGUUCAGGACACCAAUGACGCUGUUAACAAAAAUGGCAGCAUGUCUUGUGUGCCAGGUGCAGUUUGAAACCCUGUAUGUUAUCUCACUUAGCACUCAUGAAUGCUCUCUAUAAAUGACACUGUGGUCCACUCCUCUAGUAUUUGUCACACUGUGCAGAAAAUUGCUAUUUUGAGAGAGUCCAGUCUAAUUCCCUAGUGUACAUAAAGGGCCUGAUUGGCCUGGGUCAAUUAGGCUAAUUCCAGGACCCACAGAAGAAAUUGAUUUUUGUUUUUAAAAAAAACAAACUAUUUAAAGUGUAUGUGAGGGGUUGGGGAUUUAGCUCAGUGGUAGAGCGCUUGCCUAGCAAGCGCAAGGCCCUAGGUUCGGUCCUCAGCUCCGGAAAAUAAAUAAAUAAAUAAAUAAAUAAAUAAAUAAAUAAAUAAAUAAGGAAAGAAAGAAAGUGUAUGUGAGUGCAGGUGUCUGAGGAGGCCAGGAGUGGUCCAUCCUCCGGGAUCUGGACUGACUGGCAGUUGUGAGUCAUUUGAUAGAGGUGCUGGGGAAAGGACUCGGGGUCCUCUGCAAGAGCAGCACACGGUCAUGUUCAACACUGACCCAUCUCUCUAGCCCAGAAAGUUUUCUCCCGGGCUGGUCCAUACAAAGUAUGGACAAAGAUUGGUUUAAAGGUAGGGGAUGAAAAGACCACUCUCUCUUUGUGUGCAGGACUUGUGUGGGUAUUUUAGGUUUGCAAGGGCGCCGAUGACAUAUCAGGGAGGCAGAGCCAAAGGAAUUACUGGAAACGAACUUAGACUUGAUCAAGUUGUCCUGAGCCUCCCGUGACUUUCAGUUCUGUGAAUUCAAGUCCAUUAUGGAAGUCAAUUGGAUUUAUUUUAUCGUGAGACCCAGAGGGUACAGCUUUGCCAGUCUGGUGGUCAUAAGUUGCCCAAGAAGGGCCAGGAAUUGUCUGUGUCAGUCCAAUGUGGAGAAAAUUGACUUCGAUCUAAAAAACAAAAACUAACCAGUAAGACAAAUGUAAAUUCGGAACGCAGGCCCAUCUCUCUGGAGACUAGGUGAAUGAAGGGAGUGGGGGUGUGCCCUCAGCCCAGUGUCAGAGCUGUCCUAUUAUUGAACAUCUGCCUUCUCGGGGGCAGAGGCUUUGGAACACCACCGGUGCUGAUAUGAGGUGCAUGCUGGACUGGACACAGGAAAGCAUGCUCCUUAAGCUGUCUGCCUCCCAGGCCUCAGUUUCCCCUUGUGCAGUACCAGGCGAGGGCUGUGGUUUCGUCCAGCUCUAACAUCCUAACAUUCUGGAAUUCCCACAGGCAGGCCUCCAGGCCCCAGGGCUGGCCGGGAGAACAGAGCCGUGGCUGUUUGUCACUGUGGCAGAACAGUGGGACCCAUUGAACCUGCGGUCUCCUGCAGUAGAAACGGCCAAAUGGCACAUGUAGAAAAGGUAAAUUCAUCUGUGGCGCUGGUGAGAGGUGCACUUGGGGACUGUCCAGGGAGAGUCAUCCUUCAGUUCACAGGCUGAGACAACCAUGUGUUCCACGGGCUACACUGAGCUUCAUUUGCCACAGCUGGAGGGAAGAUGGAGGGCAGUCCUCAUGGACGCCAUGGGACCGAGCAGCCCUCCAUGGUGGGGGUCCUCUGAACAGUCAUACCUCUCGUGGUCCUGGUUUUGUGGUUGAUAGAGCGAUAACACUUUAAGAAAUAUGCCCUGAAUGAAUCUAAAGUGUUUUUCCUAUGAGAAAAGUGUUUAUUUCAGCAACUUUGACUGCCUUCAGUUGUGAACCCAAAACUGGAGGGUCUGAAGUCUCCUUUCCCAUGGACCUUUGAGUUGGACUUGAGGCCAUGAUGUAGAGAGGACAUUAUGAGUCUUCGGGUGGCCUCUCUUUGAUUUUCCUUCCACCCUUUUCUCUGUCAGUGUACUCUCAUAUCUGAAACUGAUGCUAUGCAUAUGGGUGAGAGUUGGAAAUACUAUGGCUGAGGUGAGCAAGUGGGGUACGGGGGAAGACAAACUAGGAGCCCCUUAACAACUGAUCCCUCUGGGGCUCAAAUAAAGCUUCUUCGUCCCAAGUUCUCAGGUCUUCUACCACAUAGGGAUUUGAGGCAGAACCCUUAGUGCUGGAUUAAAACAUUUACAAGUGCUAAUCAUUGAAAGAUUGGUAUUUAAAAAAAAAUAAAGGGAGUUGUAAUGGUGAAGAAUUCAAAAGUUCCGACUUUUCCAUAAUGAUCAGUUAUUUUGACACUUAAAGAAUAUCAAAGGCUGGAGAGAUGGCUCGGUGGUUAAGAGCACUGACUGCUCUUCCAGAAGUCCUGAGUUCAAAUCCCAGCAACCACAUGGUGGCUCACAACCAUCUGUAAUGAGAUCUGAUGCCCUCUUCUGGUGUGUCUGAAGACAGCUACAGUGUACUCAUAUGUAUUAAAUAAAUAAUAUAAAAAAAGAGUAUCAAACAUUGAAGUUAAAAAUUUAUAUUUUAGGUAGCACUUGUGUUUACUUGGUGUUAAGGUGUUCCUGGGCUGUCUUUGGACCACCCAGCCUACCUUUCCUGCUAUCACACAGAGUCCCGCUCCCAAGGGCCUUUCAGGGUAGGAACUCGGCCUUUGCUAGGGCAGGAAGGGAAGGUCCUCAGGUAACUGGAGAGCUCCUGUUUGGGAACAUUCUCAUGUUCACUCUUGCACAGGCAGGAUUAGGAGCAAGGAAACAGCCAACCACUGAGGGCCCGAGGAGCUGUAAUCACGUACUUUCUGGUACACAGUGUCAUGCUACAUUUCCCAGCAUCUGCCAUCUUCCAUUGAUCCCUGCAGAGAUGGACCUGAUCCAGGAAGUGGUCCAUCAGAUGACAGAACACUACUGUGAGACAGGGGAGUGUUUCCACAACUUGAGGCAUAGGAAUAGAGACCAAAGGCACUAUGGGGUCAGGGAAGUUGACCCUGAACCUAAAGGGCUGUGGGGGUUUAAUAUAGCAGUGCUUGUGUCACUUACAAAGGAGCUGACUCCUGGAAUGUUCAGAACUAUUUUUUUUUAAAAAAAGAUUUUUACACAUAUGGGUGUUUUGCCUUUAUAUGUCUGUUCACCAAAUGCAUGCAGUACCCACAGAGGCCAGGAAAGGGUGUUGGGUCCUCAGGAAAUGAGUUAGAGACAGUUGCUAUUGGUCACAUGGGUGCUGGGAAUCAAACUCUAGGCAGGUCCUCUACAAGGACAGCCAGUGCUCUUAACCAUUGGGCCACCUCUCUGGGCUCAGCUCCCUGGUUCUUAAGUUUUUGGGGGUGGGGGUGUCCUCAAUGGCCUCUGUGCCUUGCGCAUCAUUCCAGUGGGCUCAUAAAGAGCCCGUACUCAGUCUUCUCUCCCACCUCACAGUAAGGAGGCUGAAACCCAGAGAGGUGCUAUGUCUUGGGAAAGGUCUCAAGAUACAGCGGUCACCUGAACCCCUUACUCUGAGGCAGGUAACGUCUUCCUGCUGUUCUUGGGCUUUUUCUCCUCCCAAAUCCUGGGAGUCUCACAAGUACCACCCAGGUGGGCUGCCUGCAGUCUAGAAGGUUGUCGGAGGUAACUCCAAUGGGCCCAACAUUGGGUACAGACUGAGAGGCACAGCCAGAGCCUGAGCCACGAGGCAUGUGGUAGGGAGGGGUUAAAGCGGUGCUUGAGUGUGGCUUUGUGUGUGUGCUUGAGGGCAAGGCUGCAUGUGCAAAGGCGCACGUCGCUCCCUUGCACGUUGGUGGGACAGGACUACGGGCCAGCCUGAGAGGUGCUCUGCAGCUCCUGGAAUGAAUGGGCCUCUGUCUUCAAGGCUGAGAGAGCCUCUGUGUGUGCAGGUCCCAUUAGCUCAACCUCAGCCACAUGUAGAAAGGGGAGAGGCCUAGGAAGCCCAAAGUACACAGUCCUUCUGAUUUUAGAAUGAAGUGAAAUCUUCGUAAGAUGUCACAUACACUGCAGCUCAGAAGUGUAUGCUGGUGCCCCACCCAAUGUCCUGUUACUAUCCCUUCUUAUUCCUACUGCUCAUCAACAGGUUCCAGCAAGAGGACUCUAUUCCUAAGUCCAUGUCAACCUCACUUAAUGUGUGCACUCUGUCUGGUGCCUGGGAUCCCGCGUGUGGCUUUCUCCUAACUCAGCUCAGUUCCCAGGCUGCAUGCUCAAACUUCCGGCCAGCCAGCAGCUUCACUCACACAGUUUUAUCUGUAAUGGACAGGCAGGCUCAAGUGCUGUCCGGGGCCCCAUGUUCCCACUGUCAUUUCCAGACCUCUUUGGGUCCAGGCCCCUGUUGCCCUUGGCUGUAGCUUGUUUAAUGGAGUGACUCCUGUCUGGGAACAGCCUGGAGCACAGGACACAGAAAGACACUUGUCCAAGCUUGCUAAUUUUUUAAACCAGCAUAGCCAAACCACAGUGAUGGGCUCAGUGACCUGGCUGGGUACCUUCCUCAUUCCUCCAACCACUCUCCUGGCCCUAAUUAUCAAUGGCUGCUAGUUUACGACUUCUGGUUAUCCACUGGAAGACCUCCUAGGUUGGAGUGUGGUCCCUGACAGGACAGAAGGAGAUCUAGUUUCUGAAGGAGGGCCUGGAUCUGAGAGAGGGUCCUGUGGAGGCCAGCAACCAUAUAUCCUCCCUAUACUGAGUGUGGCAGAGGGCAGGACCUAAAGAUGCAAUUGAACGAAUGGUUGAAUAAAGGUCAGUACACAGACAGGCAGGCAAAUACACGCAUACACAGGCAGGAGAACACUCACUUGCCCAUAAAGAAAUUUUAUGAAUAUCUUACGUGAGAUCUUGACCCAAACAUGGGAAAGGCUUCAGUGGAGACAGCAGGGAAUGUUCUCAGCCCAGACCCUUCCUGGCACAUCCACGACAUGACCUUAGAUGUCUGCAGCUGUGUAAAACUGGUCCGUUCUCCAUCCUUACUUCUACCCCCCUGGAUUCCUCUCACGAAGGAUGCCGUGCCCACUAGAAAAGGUCUUGUACAGCUAAGUGAAGCAAGGAGUGGGAGAUCACUGGGUUGGAGCCCAGGCUGCCAGAAGCCAUGGUACUGGCUAUGAUACUUAGGGCUGGUGCUAGAUCAAAGUGCAGGAGACAGAAACCUAGUGCAGGAGUCUGGCACACCACAGGCACUGUGCUAAACACUGCUCCCACCAAAACAUUUCUAUGCCUUCUCUGGCUGUCACCCCCAAAUCCUUUUCUAACCAGUGUAUUAGACUCCAUGGGGCCUUUUCUGGAGGGAGAAUAAAUCAGGAUCAGUAGCCCAGCUAAGGAGAAAGCAAGUUACCCACCACCCCUGGGUCUCUUCAGCUCCACUCACGAGUGGCUGCCACUCCCUCUCUGACAGACCAAGGUGGUGUGGUGGUGAACAUCGUAGGAAGGGAAUGCUCACACCCCCAGGGCCUUGCUCCUCUCCUCUGGUUACUAUUCUCUGGGAGCUUCCCCUCCAAAUUACACCUGGAGAACUGGGGUUUGAGGUCCAAAGGGGCUUACUGCCCUCCCUGAGUCCACACUCUGAGAGCGGCCAAGAAAGGCCUUGUAAGCCAGGGAAAACAAUUAGGACCAAUUACCAUCAAGAGAGGCCUGGGUGAGGGUGCCAGCCAUCUGUGACGACAAGUGGCAGAGAUCUGGGGAGAAACAGAGGGGCUAAGGUGGGGAAGAGCUGAGAGGUUGCUGUUUCUUUCCCGGUUCAGAGGCUCAGGACUCCUCCCCCAGUUAGCUCCUUGAAUAGAACUUCCCUCACAGGGUCAGGGGGUUUAGCGUGGGGGUGGGGCUGGAAGACGGGGGAGGGCCCCAGGUUCCACAUUCCUGAGAUUCUCAAGCCAGGGCAGAGGGAACUCCACACAGACAAGAAUGAGUGGGGCAGGGGUGGAAAGACAGGACAGAAAUGUCUCCAGGGUUUUGUUGCUUGUGUGUGUGGUGUAUACCUAUUUAGCACAAACCUGCCUUCUUCCUGAGGCCAUGAGUGUAGCUAGGCUGGGGCCAUCUGGCAACUAAUGCAUCGCCCUCCACCUGUAGGCUCAUCUUUUUCUAGGUCCUACCUAGGUCACCCUCCCAAACUAAGGUGAGAACAUGGGUGAAGACCCAGGCUGUUUCCUAGAGGGGAGGACCAACUGGACUCACUAAAGGCUCUCUUCCUGGGUUCCAGCUUACUAGAGCUAGCCACCAGAGGUCCAGGUGUUUCUCUUGUGAGCAUGACAGAGCUUCCAGGAAGUAGCAGACUUUAGCAUUUUUAGGGUCCUGCAGUUACCUGCUUUGGCUUGGAAGGUGACUGUAAGACUGGGCAGGCCAUCAAUGUCUGCUCUGGUCUCUCAUUUCAGAAGAGAUGGCAUUAGCUCUGACAGCACAGGUGUGAGCACCAAUGAGCAGUGAGGCGUCUGUCAGGUAGGAAGGGGAGCAGGGCCUUAACUUUUCCUGUUAGUGUAUUAUCAAUAUUAUUAGGAAAUGGCUUUAGCCAGACACUCUGUAGCAGACGGGAAGCAGAGAUGAAGAACUGAGAUGAGGGUCAGCUCAGUACUUGGAGACUGAGAGAGGCUGGAGCAAGUGUGGUGUACACGGUGAGUUCCAGAUCAGUCAGAGCUACACAGUGAGACCCUUUCUCCAAAAUAAAUAUAGUGAAAGUUCUCAGACGGGAGGCAAGAGGAUGGAGGUACAAGCUAUACUCCCAACAUCCAGGAAAAUGAGGAGCAGAAGCCUUGGCUAUACUGUGAGACUAUGUCAAAAAUGAACCCACGGGCCUGGAGGGAUGGCUCAGCAGUUAAAAGACUAGAAGCUAAGCGACUCUUCCAGGGAACCCAGAUUCCCAGCACCCAUGUGGUGGCUGACAACUGACUGUCCCUCCAGCUCCAGGGGAUCUGACGCCCUCUUCUGGCCUCUGCAGGCAACAAGUACACAGGCAUGCGCAGGCAUAUAUGCCUGCAAAACACCCAUAUACAUUAAACCAAAUUAAUACACUUUAAAAAGCACAAUAAAACAUGAAUCGAAAAGAAAACAGGCCAGCUGGGAUACACAUCUGGGAGACAGAUCAGGAGCUCAAGAUCAUCCUUGGCUAUAUAACAAAUUUGAGGCCAGCCUGAAUUACACAAAACGGUCUUUCAACCAACAGACAACUUGGGGACGUAAUAGCAAUGCACUCACUCCUUCAACCAGUCUGUUUUUCCGGUGUUCCAGACACCUGGAGAAGUACACAUCUUAGCAAGACGUGCUUAGCACAGAUCAGUAACGAACACCAUGCCCAGAUGCUGUAGAUAAUAGACACGUGGGUGAGGAAGCUACAGACUUUGGACCUGGGUAUCCCCACAGUCAGAGGAAGCAGUGAGGUCAAAGACUAUUUGGCUUGUUAGACAAACGGGAGCAAGAGGUCUGGGUGGUAACACCAUGCAGCACAGGAGAGGAGCAGGAUGGCUGUUAGAGAGGCACUGAGCUAGGCCACAACAGAAGUUGAUAACUGUCUGUAAUGGCUGGUACACAGUACAUGAGGACAUAGACAUUUCUCCAGGGUCUGAGAAGUAUCUGGUACACAAAGAGCAAGCAGCCAUCCCUUUCCCUUUGGAACUUUUUGCAGAGCCAUGGCCAGAGUAGCACCCAGGAGUAGCUGGGGAGAGCAUGUCUUUUAUGGACACUGGAUGCAGGUCCUACUCUGAGAACAGUCUCCUUUUUUGGUGUCAGGUGAAGAAGGUUCAGGCAAUUGCCAACUAUUUAUAUAAACUAUAGAAUAUGUUUAAAGAUUUCUUUCCUCACUCCAGCGAUUAGGAGAGGAUUGAAAAACAAAACAAACCACUUAAACAUGCCUAAAAAACAGUUCAAAAAUCUGUCUAGAAACAUCCUUAGCUCUUCUAACCCACUCUCCUAACCCAACAAACUUUCUCCAUGAGGCUGUGAGUUGCUAUGCUUUCUCAGUCUCACUCUUGUGAGCAUGAUGUUCCAGAAGCACUCGGUAGAGGUAAGAUGUCGAGAAAGGGGGGCAGGAAGGCGACGAGACAGGGUGCAGUUAGCAGAGUCGGCUGGAGUCUGAUGGUACACUUGGCUUCGAGAGCUCCCUGGCAGUCUUUGCAGCCAGGUUUAGUUUUUAAAGCACCAGAAAGCCACAGAUUUGCAUGUUAUUUGUUCCAGGCUUCACUUUCAGGUAUGCAGAAUAAAAUGAAUGAACAGCAUUCAGUCUCUUGGUUAAGGCGUGGGUUCAGAGAUCCAGAGCAUACUAGGAUCCAACCACUGGUACAGUGUGGAUCAGCAGACAGUUUGGGGCAGGUUAUCUAUGUUUAAAAUAUGUACGUAUAUAUGUAUGUAUUUCAUAUUCUCAUAUAAAUGAGGAGACAGAACAGUCUCAGAGACACACAAAUAUAUUAUUGAGUCCUGGGAGUUCCCAGUCAAAGCACAGAAGCAAAAUCCACAGAAUUUAUUUUAAAUAAGUGAAUUUAAAAACCCAAGGGAGUCACAUAUACAGAUAAAGGCGACAUCAUCCCUGACACAUUUCCACCUCUGCCCUUUCCCCCACACUUCAGCUUCAUUCUGAACUAUGUGCUAAUGAGUUUGUAUUCUUUCUUGAAAAGGUGUGUCUGUGUUUACUCAGCCUUCCAAAUCAGGCAAACUAUAAACUUACAGACUGUAAGGCCCUGAGGACACAGUGGCUUGUACUUCCUUUGUUAAACCAUCUUUCUCACCCUUCAGGGCUCCAAAGUCUAGUGCUUGACCUCACACUUACGAAACCCUCAGACAGAAGCUUUCCAUGAGUUUCAAGUAAGGCAAGUGCCUUUAUAGGACAAGACAAAGAGAAAGGAACCCACCAUCUGAAUGUGCAAGGGGCAUGCAUCCCUGUCAAUAAAAAGGGUGGAGGAUGAACCUGCUACCCACAGAGUUAAGAAGAUGUUCUGAUAAGCCUCUGGGGUAUAGCCUGAGAGCCCCACACUGCAACCUGCUGAACAUGGGAUGAGGAAGGUGCUUCUGUUAAAGGCCAAGAGAACACUGUUGGAGGUCAGGAUCUGCGCUCUGAGCCUACAGUAUUUGGAAGUUAUGACAAAUAAUCAAGUCUCCUCGCACCCUUGCAACACUGUUAUUCUUAAGAAAUGUUUCGGAGAACGAGCCCUGUCUGUCUUGUUCUUUCCAGACUAGAAUACAGAUGCUUGCAAUCCUGGCUAGAAAAACAGCACCAAUCCAUUCUCCUCAGCUUGGCAGUUCCAUGCCCCCUCCCCUGAAAGGCCCCACCCCUGUGAGAAAAGCAGAUGACAAGACAAACAGGGAGAAGUCAGGCCAUAGAUAGUGUGACCAGGGAGAGCUUUAAAUCAGAUUUCGGUGCACAUACUUAGUGGGUCCUUACACAAGAACUGAAUGUGCCUGCGAAGAAUGGAGCCUGCGUUCCCCUCGGGUACCACUCUCCCACCUUUGCCUUCCCGCAGCCGGCCUACUUCUAGGCACGCUGCAUUUAGCCAGACUCUUGUGUAGUUCUAAUUCUACACCCGAGGUAGCGCUGACCUGACCUUAGACAUUGACUCAGAGCGUCUUACUGAAGGUAGAGCAAGGAAACCGUAAGAUGUCAGUCUCUCUUUACUCUGACCUUCGGUCGGAGCUUGGGAGGAUGACACGGGAAGAUCAGAGGUGGAGAUUCGAACACAAAGCUCUUUGAAGAAUGCUCUCUCCAUCCACUGAUGAUAGAUUGCACCAUGGGUGUGGGAAACCAGGUGGUGGUGCUGGAACAUUUUGCUGGGUCAUCUGCUGUCCCCUUGAACCACUAAAUGCUAAAGCAGUGCUGAGGCAGUCUAAGGACUAGUAGUAGUCCUCACAGAAGAGUGAAUGGGCAGCGAGUCUCUAGGCUGUCUGUGGACAAGUACUCACACUGAACCCUACACAGGACUCCUGCGCGUCACAAUGGAUCUUAAGUGAUAAGAGGAUGCAGCUUCCACACAUCAUAGCACAUGUUCUGCAAAGGGCAGGAUCAUCUCAUUUUCUCUGUGUACACUGCAGGGAUGACUGCUGGGGUUGCUGGAGUCUGUAACCGCCCUGUAGUGCUUAUCCUCCCUCAGAUAUCCCUUUUAUAGGGGAGGGGAGACGGCUAUGAGCAUGGAACAUAGGGGAAAGGGACAGAAAGGGAGAACGACAGGCAUAUUCUGUUUAGAGCAGGUCAAACAAGACACUGGCAGCAUGCCCUUGGCCAUGAAAUACACACAGCUUCCGUCUUGUCAUUGCCAUUCGCUCACUCUUGACUUGAAGGAGUUUUCAGAUCCUUGUCCUGCUCCUCUUAGCUGGCUCUCUGAGGAUGGCCUACCGUGUGCAAGUCUGUACUUGUUCCCAUUAGGCCACCCGUCACGGUCUGACUUACUUACUCCUAUUACUCCUGGGAAGGACAGUGGUCUUGGGAUCACUGGCUUUUACCUGGUCCUAUUUAAACUGCAUCGGAGAAAGGGAGCCAACCUCAGACUGGCUCGACAACUCUAUUUCACAAAGUGCUUUUGUUGUACACCUCACACUCUGUUGUCCAUGGCAAUGAGUAUUUGUUGCUUUGGUCCAUACAAAAAGUCUCUGGGGAAGACAAAACAGAUUCUGUGUAAAGGAACAAACAGUGGGAACCAUCUUGUGAAGAGCCCGGGGUGUGAGUGAGCAAGGCCUGAGAAGCUGUCUGUCUGUCUUUCGAUCAGGUCUGUGUGAGCUGUGCCUACGUCAGCGAGGACCAGCGUUCAGCAGUGUUCUCCACUCCUGCGCUGAGUCUGUGCCAGUGCUCUAGAGAGAGUGUGAAAGGGCCCAGCAACUCAUAUACAGAAAGCUAUUUAUUUCCUAUGGAAAAUCAAGAGAAAAGGGAGGAGGAGUGAGGAAGGAGCAGCGAGAGAGAAACACUAAGGUACAGGCCCCGGCCCCCAACAUGCAGGGAGGGAGGCUGCUGGAGUGGAGACCGAACAUUCAUUUAACAAUGGCGUAGUAAAAAAAAUAGUUGUUGUUUUCAAAUUGUAACUUGUGGUAAAACAUAGAAAAAUGUACUAAACAGGCUUGGUAUAAAACAGAGUACAAUUUCCAAUUAAGCCCAAGGAGAGAGCACAGUGCUGGAAGGGCUGGGCACAGGGGCGGCGGGGAGAAGACUGCAUAGAAAACUACCGGUCACCAUACACAAAGUAGAAAAAGUCCCUGUAGUGGAACUUAAGUACAAAACGACACUGGCACUGUCACCUCACCAUCUCACCUCAGGAGCUCUGCGAGGGCGGGAGAGGUGCUACAAACAACGAAGGAAAGAGCAGUUUAAAAACCUCAAGUUUAUCAAGCUAAGCUCCACCCGUUCUUCAGCUGGCAAUGUCAUUUACCUUGAUAACCUUUACUCCUAAACCAGAUUCAUCCAGGUCUCAAAAUACUCUUAGGAAAUCUACAAAUGCCCAUAAACAGGGCUUGCUGGGAUCUCUGUGUGCUGGAGUUUGAAAGAUGAAAAUAAACCUACAGACUAAAUGGUGAACACAUUCAGUCUUUUUUUCUUUUAAAAGCAUAUCCCUGUGAAAUAUAUAUUUCACAUUUAUGUGUGUGUAUAUAUAUGUAUGUAUACACACAUAUAGGUAUAUAUGUAUAUAAAACUCUCUGUGGUUAGAAACAUAUUUAAACUAACUAGCCACAGACACCCUAGACCUGUACUCAUCCAACUCUGGCAUGUGACUCUGACCACUGAAGUCCCACUUCUUGGUCAGCAGCAGGCAGCAGUGAAGCUGGGCCCUGGCUGCUGCACUCAACACUCCUGGGUGGCUCUCCCCACAGCACGGCCUGCUCGCACAUGCAACCCCCGCCUGUGAGGAAAGGCCUGCUCGAGGCUUUAGGGUCUGCCGGGGCUUGUGCAGUGUGCUCAGGAUGGGACUCGACCAGUGAGGAAACAGCCUUGAGGAGAAGCAGUCAGUUUCAUGGAGGGCACAUAAAUAGGAAGGCUCUGGAGGAGGGGACUUAAGCGUGUGCCUCAGAGUCCAGUUCACAGUUCCAUUUGUGACCCUGCAUCCUAGGGACUGCGUGUAUGACUACGGCGCUGGUGGUUUUAUCCUACCUGCUGCCGUGCCCUUUCCUACUUCUCGGUAAGGUCUAGCAACAAGAGUUUACAUGAAACCAAGAUUCUUCCCCAGUUUUCCUUGGACUCCUAAUGAGGGACUCAGUGAGGCUGGAGCCCUUGGAAAACAAGACGGCAGAGCUGAAGUGAAAAGCAGCCUCUCUCUUCAGUAGGGAUGUCCCUCACCCCUUUCACAGCACCAGAGUUUCUUUGCAAAAAUAGUAUCUGAGAUACAAAAGGAAGGCAGGUGUGCUUGUGAGUGCGUCUUGCCUGGUCUGGCCCAGGACCAAGGGCUGUACAGAACAGGGGUUAGGAGCGGCUGUCUCCAAGCUCUCUGGCUGUCGAUGGCAAAGGCUGGUCCCCCACACGCUCAGUGUCUGCUCACUGAGACAGUCUUCACAAGAGCUUCCGGUGGAGGAUCUCCCAGACCAUUCGCUUCCGGAAAUAUGGCAUGUGUUGCUGUAGGGAACAGAGAGGUUUAGUUCUCACGUGUGGGCAGUUCUACGCGUGGCCUCUCUGCUCGCUCUUUCAAACUGCGUGUCUUCACUCACACCGCCUUUUCUUCCAUUGCUUCUCUCUACUACAAUUUUUGCUCUAUGCCCUAAAAAUUACAGUGGGCGCCAUCUCGAAUCCCCAGGCCACUACCUAAUAACCCCAAGAAAUUUGAGAAUGGUGCCUAUCAAAUUUUUUAUGUUUAUGAUGAGACUAAGGCCAAAAAUCAAAAAAUACUUUAUUGGAGAAGUAAGAGAACUUCAGUUUGGUCUAAAUCUGUGUCUUAAUUUUUAAUUUAGUUUUGUUUGAGACAGUCUCUCACUGUCCUUGGCUGGCCCAAAACUCUAUGGAAACCAAGAUGCCCUCUAACUCAUAGAGAUGGGGCUGCUUCUGAGUGCUGGCAUUAAAGGUGUGUGCCACUGUGCCAGGAUUUUUCAAGGGUUUUCUUAAACUCGGGGCAGUGACCCCAUAUGAGCAUCUAAAUAUGUUUUCUUUUUAAUAAGAUUUAUUUAUUAUUAUAUUUAUACGAGUACACUGUAGCUGUCUUCAGAAGAAGGCAUCGGGCCCCAUUACAGAUGGUUGUGAACCACCAUGUGGUUGCUGGGAUUUGAACUCAGGACCUCUGGAAGAGCAGUCAGUGUUCUUAACCACUGAGUCGUCUCUCCAGCCCCAAAUGUGUUUUUUAAAGAGAUGAAUUUAUUUAAUGUCUGAGUGCUCUGUCUUCAUGCACACCAGAAGAGGGCAUCAGAGCUCAUUACAGAUGGUCUUGAAUUGCUGGGAACUGAACUCAGGACCUCUGGAAGAGCAGCCCCUGGGCCGUCUCUCCAACCUAGGCAUCGGAAUUUGUAACUGAAUAUGAGCACUCUGAAAAAUCUGAGAACAGUAAAAGGUUUCUGAACACACCAUGUCCAGAAAUUAAUUCAGGCUCAAACAUAUGAUGAAUCCUAGGUGCGUGACGUGCCUCAAGUAUACAAAGCACACUUGGCACCGUGUGAUCUGUGAGGCACAUCAGCUGGCGCUCUGGAAACACCCGGUUCAGAUUUUAGCCACCACACAUUAUGAACAGCAGCCUUGUUCCUUACAUAUAACACUUUUUGCUUUGACAGAAACAAAGUAGUUUAAUUAUGAAAACAGAAUUUUAGUACCUUUCUAUCAUCACUCCUCAGCAUGUGACAUCAGCCUGGCCUACCUUUGUAUUGUACUGGGUCAGUGACAUGGUUCAGUGAGUAAAGAAACUUCUAUCACGCUUGAUGAUGUAAGUUUGACCCUUGGGACUCGGGCAGAAAGAGAAACAAUUCCUACGAUUGUCUUCUGACUUCCACAUGCACCUUACUCCCAGCCAGCACUACUUCUGUGCAACAGCCUUCUCAGCACUGCUGACAGUCAACCACUCUGGAAACAAUGAGGACCCGCCAGAUCCUGUAACACUAAAGAGUCAGCCAGGGCUGGAGAGAUGGCUCAGCGGUUAAGAGCACCGACUGCUCUUCCAGAGGUCCUGAGUUCAAAUCCCAGCAACCACAUGGUGGCUCACAACCAUCUGUAAUGAGAUCUGAUGCCCUCUUCUGGUGUGUCUGAAGACAGCUACAGUGUGCUCAUAUACAGAAAGUAAAUAAAUCUUAAAAAAAAAAAAAAAGUCAGCGAAACUCAAGUCUUUAUACAAAACCAAAACCAUCUGUUUCAUUUGUGUAGAAACCAACUGUAAAAUACCCUGUAUAGAGAGACCUGUUUUAAAGUAAGUUUAGUUAUUAUAAGUGUAUGUUUUACUUAUCUAGUUAAUAUAUGUAUGUAUCUAGGGCAAUGUUAAAACUUUCCAGAUGAAGAUGAGUAGUAAGUUUUGUUCCUUUUCAGGACCGAUUCAUUUUUAUCUGUAUGAACACUUUCCUUACAUGCAUGUCUGAGUUCCAUGUGCAUCCCAUGGCACAUGUGGGAGCCAGAAGAGGGUGGUAGGUCUCCUGGAACUCUAAUUACCAAUGGCUGUAUAGGCCACGUGGAUGUUAAGAACUGAACCCAGUCCUCUGGAAGAGCAGCUAUAGUGCUCUUAAAUCACCAAGAUCUCUCAGGCCUCAGCAAGAGGAACAUGUUUAAGAAGCCCUAGUUUACACAAAAUCUAGACAGGACACUGAUUCCAACAGAAGCAAACGUAUCAAACUUAUCAGAAUAAGCUAUAAUUUGUAGUCUCGAUCCUCUGAGGUUCAGGAUGAUAGGUAGAAAAAUGACCAACUACCUGCUAAGAUAAAACUGACCAGUGGCACUGACAAAGGGGUCGGGGAAGGUGGUGUGUAAAGUACACAGGGAGGUUUACUUGGGUCUGUUCCCAAACCUAAAUGCUAAACUGAGGAGAACUGAAGAAGGAUUCCUCUGGUUCCAGUGUUGUGUUUCCUAUAAGGUGGGGGAGAUGGAUAGAUAACAAAGCUUUCUUCUUAACCCAAGACUCAGCUGCUGUCAUAUGUGACAAUGGUAACCUGGGGUGUGGACCAACACUGUCUCCUUUUGUGCAGUGCUAUGAGACACAGUCCGAGGUACGUAAAACUCAGGACAGAGGCCCCACAGAACAGCAGAGAGGUAAUCAGCUUUUACAGCUUGGGUGUGCAAGGCAGAGGUUUUGUCUUGGAGGCCUGCCUCACCUGUGUAAAGUUGAUUGGUCUGUCUUUGGUAAUGCAGUCGGCAUAUUUGCAAGCAAACAUUCCACAGUCACUUCCAUUCAUCUGCUGUGGGAUUUCCUAAAAGACCGACAACAACAACACAGUGAUCUGCAAACUUCUUCAUCAAUUUUACACCAUUUCCCUAAAUUCUGAAUACAUGACCUUAGAUCUCCUAUUUAAGACAAUAAAGGAAAGUUUAAGGGGGAAGGUGGUUUUAAAAAAUGUAGCAUGUUAGUCCCACCCUUGUGUUGUUUUAAUUUCAUAUUAGUCACACAGGGAACUACCUCAGGUUUUCAUGGCACCUAAGGGUGUAGAAACCGGUCCUUCUGCUAAGGAUCAAAUAGUCAACAAGUAUUUUUCAAAGGAGUAAAAAUCUCAGCAAAAAGGCUCGAUGUUUAGAAAAGUUUUACACAAGAAACAUAUCACGAGUUUCCCCACAAAUAACUCAUCUGGAGAAACCAGAGAGAGCUGAAGUUAGAAAGUCUAUGGGAAUCCGACAGUAACUAACCCCCUCACCCCCCAAGCUCUAAAGAUUUCUAUGACAUCAACAUGAAACAUACCUGGCUUUUCUUGCUGAAGAGCUGCCAGCCAUUGGUAUCAAACUCUUUCCUUUUCUUGUCGACACUUUCUUGUUUUAGGUAUUGCCUAAAGGAUCAGAAGAGAUGGAGAUGAGCUGUGUGCGUCUUGCCGGCAGCUGCCACCCAGAGAAUGGGGCUGGCCAUCCUCAGAAGACAACCCUUCAGACUUGCACAAGCAGCCAACCUGCCAGGAGGGACAGGACCUCUGCUUCUGAUAUUCCUGAUGGGUAAUACUCUUUCUAAAGUUCUCUAGUCUGUUAAUCUUCCCAAGAAACAUUUUUAAAUUUAUUUUUCUUGGUUUGUAUGGCCCUUUUAGAGUUAUCAACUUAUUAUUAAAUUAUAUAUAUUAUUAAAAUGUCUCAAGCAGUAUCAGGGUAUAUAUGUUUUUUAAAGAUGUAUUUAGUUUAUGUAAGUACACAGUUGCCCUCUUCAGACACACCAGAAGACAGCAUCAGAUCCUAUUACAGCCAACAUGUGGUUGCUGGGACUUGAACUCAGGACCUCUGGAAGAGCAGUCAGUGUGCUUAACUGCUAAGCCAUCUCUUUAGCCCCUGGUUAUGAAUUUUAACAUUUGUAGAGUAGGAUCUUUAUGCAAAAGUUCAAUCCAAACCAACAAUUUAACAAGUACAAAUUCAUACCAAGCAGCGGUGGCACAUGCCUUAAAUCCCAGCCCUUGGGAGGGAGGUAGAUCUCUGAGUUUGAGGCUGGCCUUGUCUACUACAGAAUGAGUUCCAGGACACCCAGAACUAUAAAGAGAAAACCUGUCUCAAAACCACAAACAGCAAGGCCCUGGGUUCGGUCCCCAGCUCCGAAAAAAAAAAAAAAAAAAAAAAAGACCACAAACAACAGUAUGAAUUCACAGAGAGGACUCCUCCCCAAUAUUCAUGUAUAUGUGCUGUGGUAUGCAUGUGUGUGGUAUGUAUGUGCAUGUGUUGACACACACGUGGCUAUGAGUGUGUGCAUGGUAUACAUAUGGAGUCAUUCUCCAUCACUACUCAGCCUUACUCAUUGUGGCAGGGUCUCUCAAUCAAGCCCAGAGCUCACUGAUAGUACUGGUCUUGCUAGCCAGUUUGCUCUGGGGAUCUUUGUGUCUGCCUGCCAAAGCUAGAGUUAAGUGGGAACCAUGCACACACGUAGCAUUUAUGUGAGCCCUGGAGGUCCAAACUGCGGUACUUGCACAACAAGCCUUGACCUCUGAGCCUCUCCCUAGCCAAGAGCACUCUUCUCAGGCAGCAAACGCUCACUUUCCAGGGACAGAUCCCCUGCCUUAGCUGCAGAGCAAGGAACACAUGUUUACAAAGAGAAGCAAAUGGUAUGUAAGAGAUCUGCCUUCUAAUUUCCAGGUGAGCCACUAAGUAGUAUGACCUAAGUAGUCAUCUCUGUGAGACUUUUCAUCUAAAAUUUCAGAAAGCUGAAUUAAAUAAGUCUGGCUGACUGCAUUUCUGUGAUAUAGUUACUCUAUAUUUCAGUGUGUUGAGACAGCAAUUGCCCUCAUAAUACACUGCAGUAUUUAAAAUAUACAUUUAUACGGAUGUGACGGUGCCAUUAAUCCUGUCUCCAAAGUUCUCAGAUAAUGUGUCUAAUUGCUGGAAAGACAGAAAGCAACAAACAUUUCUUCUGUCCUUCAUUUGCACUUACAAGAGGAUCCUGCAGGCCUCAUUGUUUACUCCGCCCAUAGAAUCAUAGUAGGUGACACUCUUCUUUCUAAAGUCUACAACCUGGAACAAGACAAACCAGUGAGGACACGACUGUACAUCAGCUGUCCCUCCCUUGGCCCCUGAGCUCUCCCCAGACUUUCUGUGAGACUGGGAGCAGCGUGGUGAAUGUGUGCACUACACUAUGCUGAAGGACAAGUGGGUUAUUUAUUUACACAGAGUGGCUGGCACUGGGGACGACCAUCAGUGGCCUAUUAAUUGUCCUAAAAAUCUUUUUCUGCAUGUCUGUUUCUCCAUGAUUAUUCAAAGAAAACUAACUACCAUAAGGUCAUCGGCAUAGUUGAAGAAAGAUGGUGACAAGAUUCUGGGUCUGUCUUUUUUAUCUUAUUUCAUUUUUUGGAUUGAUAUCUUUCCAAUGUAAUUAAAAACAGAAUACACAACAACUCUUAUUAACAUUAAACUGAUGUAUCCAUGCUCCCAGAGCCACAGAAAUGCUAAAUCCCCACAUGCACAAGGCAAGCCAGAGCUGGGUAGGAAAUAGCAUCUGAAGCUGAAGCUGGUGGCAUCACAAACAUGCUUGUCCCCUUGUCUCACCUGAGGGGGCUGGAUGACCUGUAGCUUCCAGAUCUAAGCAUCUCCUACUCUAAGUAGGAAAUUCAUUGGUUUACCUGACUGUUAGCCAAGUCAUCACCAUUAAAUUCUACCUCUCCCUUCUAUAACCAAGCAAAGAUACAGAACGAAUGACCCUCUGUGUUGUCUAUGUAGAUUCCUUUUCCGUGUCAUCAAAACCAAGGAGCUACUCACCGCCAGACACCAGUGCACACCCAAGUGAAUGGGCACCAGGAGAAUGUCAACAGAAAACACAUCCACUUUCUUUGUCCAGCGUUUCACUGCCUGAUAACCAGCUGCUUUGAGUUUAGUGAAGAAAAAGGUAUUAAAGGCAUGUACACUCGGAAAUCCCUUCUCUUUACUGCGCUCCAUUAGCAUAUUCAUGUAGAAAUUGAUGAUCUGCAGGAAGACAUUACACAUUACAACAGUCUAAAUAGUAGCACGGUAGGGAAAGAGCAGCUGUUCACUGAGCAAUCCGUAUGCAUUAACAUAUGUUUAUGUUAUGCUGUGGAUGGCAACCAACUCAGUGAAUGCCUCAACAGAUAAUUCUAAAAUAUCCAGUUUUUCCUUAAUAUAAACAUUUUAUUAAUCAUACUUCUUAAGUAUCACGCAACUAAGUUAACUGCUGGCAGCCAGAACAGAUAGGCAGAUGCUGGCCGGGACAGGAGAAAACUGGAGGGCAGGGGGAAGAUGAGGCUCAGAGAAGGGAGACGAGGGAAGGCAGUGAGUUGUUCCAGUGUUGUGUUGAGCAAGUAGAUCUGGGGCUCAGGUCUAUUCUCCCUCUGCUCUUUUCUCCUUCCUCUCCCUCCGUGACCUUUUCCCUCUCCUUCCUCUUCUCCCUGCCUUUGUUGAACGGGGUCUCACUCUGUAGCAGAUUGUCCUAAACUCACUAUGAAGCCCACGGUAGCUUCUCACUUGUGGUACAUAUCCUGUUUGAGACCUGAGUGCUGGAGUCGAAGGCUCGAAUGCGUGUUACAGUCUGUACAGUGAGAGCCUAGCGCCACACCUGAAGCCUCCUCAGCACGAGCAGUGCGAACUGCCCAGGUUUCAUGCAGAUCUGUGACCAGAAAACCAUGAGAUGAGCUAAGCAGAUGCCUGCAACAGCUCGGCACCUCUCUUAGGAACCCACGAAGUCACGGGCACGAUGAGUCGAGAUGUUCAGCUUUCUCAGCUGUUAACUGCACCCCUUCUUCAGUAUCAAGCAUGAAUAUGAUAAAUUAAAAUGUUUAAUAGAAGAGAUGCAUGGUUCUUUGUCGACAAAGCAAUGUCCUCCUUAACAGUAACUGUGCUGUCUAUGGUUCCUUUAGGUUCAGAGUCCUGGUCCUAAAGCUUACAAGUUAUUAGGCCAAAAAUUACAGCAUACUUACUUUAUGUGGAUAGCUAAGGCCAAGCCAGUGUCUGUCAACUGAAAGGAAUGAAUGGGCUAACUGAGCCACAGCUUGGAAAUAUGACUAUAAAAACAGGCACAUUUUUCAGAAUGUUUUUUGAGGAAUGGGAAAAUGCCCCUGUCCUUUGACAAAUAUUUACACACCAGGAUGCCAGAGCAGUGAGCCACUGUCCACAGCAGGGAACCCUGCCAGGAAUACAGCCAAGCAUGGCCUAGACCAGAGAAAGGGCUACAGAUACAGACACCAAGGCAGCUUCAGGGAAACCCAAUUAAGGCUCUAAGGUGAUGGGCCAGGUCUGAAGACACUGUUCUGCCUGCAGCUCUGAUCACUGUGCGAUCGUCCUGAAGGAGGAGAGGACUGUGGCUAACUGGUUCUUAAAUAAUGAAAAGGAAUCAAGUUAAUCAGAUGGUAUGUUUUCAAAUCUAAGUGAUCAGUUUAACUGCCAAAAACUAGUGCUCCUAAGACACACCUCCAUUUGUGAGAACAGCUACGACUGCAGGCAUAUCUGCCCAGGCAAACACAGAUCUCAAGAUCGUAAACUAUAAUCUCUACUGAGAGAAAACUAACCAAAAGGAAUGGAUCAGUUUCCUCUCAGAGAUGUGGGGAGAAUCUACUUAGUCUACUAUGUUAUCCAUAUUAUAUUUAUAUAUUAUAGAUUAUAAAUAUAUAUUAUAGUUAUGUAUUCAGUGUAUCAAAAGGUACAGUAUAUAGGCAGAUAACCAGGCAGCAGCCUUUUCCCAGGGGCACUUAGGGUAUCUACUUUACCAAGCAAUGAGGACUAAAGAGAAGGUCAAGAGAGCACGGGCAGGGAGAGACGGAUAGUCAAGCACAGAAGCCAUGCAGGUAUUUCUCUCCUAGGUGUCUAACAGAGUCAUUACUUUUGGAAUCAUUAGCUUGAAGUUUAGAAAGACAGGGGGAAGGGUUAACAUGUUAUACCUAAGUAUUCUGGUUUUCAGAAGGAAAAAGUUCUAAAAGCUGGCCAAGUUUUGACAUAGUCAGGUUUUACUUCACUCCCAGAAAGCACCAACUGCACAAGACUGCUAGGCUGAGGAGAACAGAGAAUCUUUUUUCAUUGCUGUGUCUCCCCCUUCAUCCAAGGUUUUCCUUGUGGGGAGGGAAAUGGCUUCUUCCCACUACUAGCCACUCUGUGGCAGGAUACAGGCUCCUUCCCAUUUCCCUAUGUCCCAGCAGGGGGAGUUUGGUGACCUUGACAGCCCCUUCCAUUAGCUGCAAUCUGAUAUCCAGGCUGAGUUUAGACGCAAGUCUUUCUCUCCGUAAGUGAAGAAAAGUGCCAUGGUUCAGUAAGACAGUCAUGCUCAAAGCAAGCUACAAAGGGAUCCUAUGUGCCAUCCUGCAGAGGAGGCUUGGGAUGAAGGACAGGGAAAUGAGAGACGGGAUCACAGUGUUCGAGAUGAAAGAGAGCAAUGCCACAGCAGUUGCUUGUAUUUUAUGAAAACAACGGUCCCUUCCCUCUCCACUGGCAAGAGCUCUGACACACAAGGGUCUCUUAGCCCAGCAGGUCCUAGAUCUCCUUUGAAAUAAGGGGCUGAAAAUCCAGUGGCUCAGGGUCUUGCUGUCUGUCUUGCCACUAGAGGCAUCUGACAAGCACUGUAGGUCAGUCCACUUGCCACCUUUCUGGCAGGCAAUGGUGGCUGCCCGUGGUUGCUGGUGCCUAAGAAACUGCCUUCCUAUUCCUUGAAGAGCCUUGGCCAUCAAGCAUGUGUUUGUCUGUGUGGCCUUGUCUAGGACAGGAAAACUGUUUGCGAUGUUUUUGUUCCUUUUAUACUCUAUUUGAUGAGUGGCCAGCCUGAAGCUGGAAAGAACCUUCUCUUUAAAGAAAAAUUCUACAGUGUUUUGUUUCUAUAUAUACACACACACACACACACACACACACACACACACACACACACACACCUAUGCAUAUCAGUGUUUGCCUGAAUGUCUGUCUGUGUCCACUUGCACAUAGCUCCCUCUGACUUAUGCUGCCACAUGAGUACCGAGCAGCAAACCCAGGUCCUCUGCAAGAGCGUCCAGUGGUCUUAAAACACCGAGCCAUCUCCUCAGCCCCAGAGAAUCUUACAGGGUUUUCAAAUUAAAACUGGGGAGAGGGAUGAGGAUUUUUUCUGUGAUGUUACCAUGACAUAAGUGAUCAUUGGUAUCUAUCUUUUUUUUCUUGCCCAAUAAGCCAGACAAAUCUAGACGUGUCCUAUUCCCUAGCAAUAACGUGCUGCUUAAGUUUUCAGCUCUUCCACGGCUCCUCUGAACCACACUGCUUGUCCUAGACAGUCUCGGGCAUGCUAAUACUCCCGAGAAGACACUGACACAAGACAACGAACAGCAGCACUGACUAUUAUGGCCCGGAGACCACCUUACCAAGAUAAAGACGCAGCUUCCAUACUGCAUACAUGACUUUGCCAUCUUUUGUGUAAAUCCAAGAACAAACACUCAGAAGUACUGCUAAUGUGUUGUAAGAAGGACAGGCAGGCAACGCCUCUAUUUAUGGAGAAUAAUUACUACUUUGCAUAUGACCGUGCAUAGCAUCCUGGUUAUCAGGAGUCUGGGGAACACUGCAGGGGUGUGGAAGGAAGCAUUAGCUUCCCUCUGAUGGCUGCACUCACAUGGAUACUCACUUAUCCACUUGUCUUCUGCUUCUCAGUCUCUCCCUCUUACACAGAUAAUGUCUUCUUCCCUAUGAAGAACUACCUAUUCCCAGUGUUAACUCUUGUGGGCUGCUUCCUCUCUACCGAGCAUUACUAGGGUCCAUCUAUCGGAGAGAAGAGCAGCUAUGACCACUGUUAACCCUAUCCUCCGCCCCACUUCCAUUACUUGGUGUAUGUGGUACCGAGGACCUAACCCAGAGUCUUGUGCUUGGGAAGCAGCUUUACACUGAGUGAGUUAGGCCCGGCUUCUACUACAUCCUAUGUCUAAGACUCAGAAGUCGUGACUAAAAGGUAUGAGCCCCAGCUCUAGACCUCAACUCUGCAUAGUACCUCCUUAGCCAACCUAUUUUACUUUCCCACAACCAACCGAGCAGCAAUACUGUCUCUACCUCCAAGGCUAUUGAAGUGCUGGGAAGCCUGAAAGGCUUCUUCCUCUUCGAAGACGAAGCUUCCUUCCGAACGGUACCCACAUGGUUGGCUGCGUACUUGUCUGUCAUGGAUGUGCUACCUUAAUUCCUCCUUCAGCAAGCUCUUCUCACAUUUGCUGAGACUGCCCCCAUGACCUUUCCCUCCCAGGUGAAGUUACAAAUACCACGUUCCAAUAUUCUAGUAUUUACUUGGAAAAUAACUGGUAAUAAUUAGUAUAAGCUUGCAAAGCACACCCCCCACCCCACCAAAAAGGCCAGCUAUAUCUUCUGGCCAGUUCCCUGUUCACACAUGUAAACUGGUCCUUAGUAUGGGUGGAGACUAGGUUCUUGCGGGCUGAGUGAGCGCUUCUGCACACCGGGUGGCUGCGCUUGUAUUGUCCUAUCAGUAUUGAGAGACAGUGCUCAAGUCCCUGAGGACGCACAGCUUUGUGUUUCCCCCUUCCAGUUCCACACGUUUUUAAUGUGUUAUUAAAAUGUGUACUUAUUUAGGCUGCGAAGCUUUCUCUAUUGCUAUGAAAUUACUAUUACUGCCAACAGUCCUCACUCCAGAAUGACUCUUGUAUAAUAUUAACAGACUCACAUUUUUUAUCCGUGUUUGCAGGAUACAACUUUCCCACCCUUUAGUCUGUAACCCUAUCUGUAUCCUUACACUCAGAAUGGCUGUCAUGUGGCUCACUACGAAGCACAUGGCUAACACACGCACACCUCCUGGGCUCAGUCCCCAGUGUGCAGUGAAGGACGCUUCUUAGCUUUCUUUUCCAGUCUAACCACCUCUACUCAGUGCGUGUUCUCACUCACGCCUACCCAGUAUGGUAGCCACCAGCCCAGGUUAGGUUCCUGGCGAUGAUUAUUUCCAGUUAAGAUGCAGAUUUUAUGUCCUAUUUCAAAGAGAAAGUAAAACAACUCAUUUAUUUAGUUCUUUUCUUUUCCUUCCUUCCUUCCUUCCUUUCUUGUGCUGGCAGGCAAAGCCAGGGUCUCAGGCAUGCAAGCCAAGCACUGUACCCACUGAACUACAUCCCAGCCCCUUCUAAAAAUGAUCCUACUAUUCGGCUUAAAGUAAGAUCCGGGGUUCCGACUGCAUUUCUCCCACCCGGCAGUCUACAUCACUGGACUGGACUCUCAUUGGCUGAGUGAGACCUGUUAUGGCAUGCAUCUUCCUGUUGCACUGUUUCUUCUCUCCAUCUGUCUCCUUCUGUGGGCUCUUUACGUGAAUACACAAAAGCCCCUGCUUUUCCUGAGAUCGCCCCUGCACCCAGGCUACCUGACAGCAUCCUGGAACUCGCUGAUGGUCUGCUCCUCUUGUUCUACCUCCAUAUACAGUCCCCCUUCUCCCAGGACCACUGGGGCGCUGUCUGCAUGCAGUGUAAGGAAACUGCUGUUUACAUUAUUUUAUGUUUAGAUAUUGAUUUGUUUUGUUUAGAAGCAAAACCGGUUUUAUCUGAACAAAUACCUAAAUUAUUUCCAUGUAUUUCUAAAUUUAUUUAAUGAUCUACAAAACAGUGUUCAAGGGGCUGGACAGCUGGCUCAGCAAUGAAGGGCACCGGCUGCUGCUGUUCCAGAGGUUCAAUUCCCAGCACCUACACAGUGGCUCUCAGGAGUCUGUAACUCCAGUCUCAGGGAACCCAGACCCCUCUUCUGGUCUCUGUGGGCACUACACAGGGAAAAAGGAGCACAACGGCUUUACAUGCAUGCCAUAUACAGGAGUUUUAGAUUUUAUCUUUAUUAUUACUUAUUUAUUUCUAUGUGUACAUAUAUGGACAGAGUUGCACUAUAGCAGAUAUGAGUGGAAGUCACAGGAGAAGUUACAGAUGUUGGUUCUCUCCAACUUUGUGGGUCUUGGGAACCAAACACAGGUCAUCAGCCUUGGCAGUAAACCCUUUCCUGCUUGGCUAUCCUGCUGGCCCUGGAUUUUCUAUUUUUCCUUUCCUUCCUCCUCUUCCUUUGGACUACUUAAGAUUUACUUCCUUCAAAAAAAUCUGACUAUUUUUCACUUCCUGUAUUAAUUUUUCAAUGGUAGGAAUAAUUUAUGAGUUACUUGAUUUAGCAGAGAAUUAACAUAUCCUAUAAUACUGGCAGGACACACAAAACAAAAAUGGGUAUUUACAAGAGUAUUUGAGAAAGAACAGAAUUGAAAUGCACUGAGUACUUGCAAAAGACUGAAUAUUCAUAAUUGAUGAAAAAGAAUUAAGUAUUUUUAAAUUAAACAUCACAAUUUAAGUGUCUAUGACAGUUCAUCAGAUGGUGACUAUUUCAGCCUAAGAAAUAUGAUACUCUAAAACUGGUGCUUCUUAAACUAGUUCAUUAUCAUCUUGAAGAUGGGACUUCUCUGUGGCUUUGAAAGCACUCCCUCCAGCACGGUAUGUAGGUGUGGUAGGGCUGCAGUAGACAAGGAAUCUCGCCUCCCCUGCAUCUACUCUAAUCAUGUAAUUCCCACCAAGCUCAGUCUAGCCUCUGCUGGGCUGCAGCACAGCAAAGUCUGUCCUGAUGAAUGCUGCCUCUGUAAGUAAUCUCUGAGGUACCUGCCACAGUGAGGGGCAAGAAUUCAGGUUAUGUCCGACUCAUUGCUGCCCUCUAGGUUUUGCCUAAGUUAUAACAAAUAGGCUCUAAUUCUUUCGGAAGAACUCUCUUCUCCCAGCAGUGAUGGGAAAUGAUAAAUGACCACACAUCAUCAAAAACAACAACAUCUGAGGGUACUUUUGAUUAUUAUUGAUUUUUGUUUUCCUCUUUAAUUCAGUUAGCUCUUCUACACUCUCAUUUAAUCCAGCAUUCCAUUACCCGAGGAGCCAAGAGACGUGAGUGAGUUUUCUAACAGAGACAUCAAAUCAUGCAUUUCCUAUCAUUCUAAGUAAAAACACAGCGCACAGUAGGUCUUAUAGACUAGCCAGUGCUACCGACAAUGGAGCAGUUCAGCUGGCCCAGAGGAAAUCAAUGUCACGGGCAUAUGUAUGGUCUUAAGUUCUAUAUUUCCAGUCCCAUAAGAUCCAGUUUAGCAAGCCUGAGGCAGGGCUGACAGUGAACCUCAGUACCCGGCCGGGAUCCGCUCUCUCAAGUGGGAGUGUCUUAGUCUGCUAUGCUAUGCUUGUCUCCUGAUGUCCAACUUAUUACAUCACACAGUAAUAGAGGGAUAAAUCUUCUCAACUGAAACAGCUAUUUUAAGGUUUAGAAUGAGGACAGAUCAAUUUAAAGAUCAUGGCAUAAUUAAUAUACUUAACUGAAAUUGGGAGGUGAAGUCAUUCCCCCUUGCUACAUAUCAACCUCAUAAAAACAAUUUAAUUUUUUCGAUAGCAACUUUGAAAAUACUGCAUACAAAUAAACAUUACUUGAGAAAGCUUAUCAUUUACAAUGUAAGUAACCUAAAGUAAUAGAGGAGAAGGAAGUCGACCUGGUCCCUGCCUAGAAUCCCAGAGUCCCCUCAGGCGGCCAUGCGGUCAGACAGGAAAUAUGGGGCAGGCACCGUAAGCAGUGAAAGCCCACCGGAGAAUGGAAGCAUUCAGUUGUAACAGUGCACAGUGUGGGAGGGCUGUGCUGAAAGGUCCUCUGUGCCACAUGAGUUCUCACAGAGGCCUCUAAGAACCACCUUUGCAGAAACAGUAACGCCUUGAUUCAGUUUCCACGUAGUUUUGCAGACUAUUUGCAUACAAAGUAAGGGCGAGAUUACCUCGUCAUUGAGCCAGUUUAGAUGGUUCAGAGUCUGAAUGUCUUUGCGUGUGAUGGUCAAGCGGAAGGCCUCACUGAGGACUUCAUCCUGGUUACCAUUACGAAACACAUUCUUUAUUUCUUUCUCCAUUUCCUAAGUAAGAAAAGAAAAGAACAACCACAAUGGUUUCAGAAAACACUCGUUUCUCACCAGUCCCCAGGCUGUGUUUAUCACGGAGUCACCUGCCUCCCAGUUCCUGUGGUCAGCUUACAUGGAUCCACCAUUCCAUCUCCUCCCUCAGUGGUCUUCCAGGUCGCCUCCCACUCACCUUGCCCUUCCCUUUCCUUUCACACAACAUUUAGAUCCUUGAUUUUGUAUCACUUCCUGAACACUGAUACAACCUUUGCUCGAAACUUCCAAGCCCUUAAAAGGUUUAUGCUUUAUGCUUCCAAUUCAAAUGGUCUCCCAAGAAACAAAAGCUACAAAGACGCCAUGGAGUACCGGCGGCAGCCAUGGAGUACCGGUGGCAUCCUCCCAGUCACUGCUCUUCCCACAGACAUGACAACGGAAUUCAGCACAGCUAUACAAGCCUGGUGCUCGCUGCCUACUGGACCCAGGACCAAGGCUGUGCACAUGAAGCCAGCAAGUACUCCAGCAGCAAGCUGCACCCAGGUCCAAUAACGUUUUGAAAGAGGUACGAAUUAAGGAACAGAUUUUAAAGCAUACAUAGACUUCUAAGUAUUUCCCAAAAUUUUCAUAAUGGAUUACUAUUGCUUAAAAAGAAACACUAUAAAAAUAAAGCAUAUAUUUAAAAAGUCAUAAUGAAAUCCAUUCCUCUGUAUGCUCAUUAAAAAAUAAGGCAAAACGAAAACAAAGAAAUCGUACCUCUCAGCUCACAAUUUGCUAUCAAAUUAUCUCCUAUGUCAGCAUAUAGGAAACGUCUGGCUCAAUUCCCGACUAUAAUCAAAAUAGAACACAAUCUCCCAAGCCAAACUUAACAACAAUUAUUUUUUUGAAAUAUAAAAGGAUUAUUAAAAAUAAAAAUAUAAAAUAUAAAUAUACUACAUAUCUUCUCACUGAAGUUGCUAAAAACGCACCUAUAACCAUUUGAACAAUCUUUAGUUACCUUUAAAAGUAAACACUGGUGCACAAUACAAUUGAAAGUUGAGCUACACUAAUAUAAAUGCCAGAUACUCUAGUGAAUUACAUUUGAAACUGCUCUCAGGAUCCUUUCUAAACAAAAAGCAAUUGUAGACAAAUAUUUUUUUUGAGGCAGGGUCUGCUAUGUAGCUCUGGCUGUCUUGGAACAUCUGUGCUGACCAGGCUGGCCUAAAUGCAGAGAUCCCCUGUCUCUGCCUCCUGACUGCUGGGAUUAAAGGCGCUCGCCAGCACACGCAGCUCUAUGGAGGGAUUUUCAGUUGUCCUUUACCUCUGUAAUUUCAGGGAACUCGUCUUCACUAUCAGUUAGUUGGUGACUUUUUUUCCUGGUUUCUUGGGCUGCUGUGACAGGGACCUCCUUUUCCAGAGGAACACGAAGGUGGAGCUCUACGGAAUCAAGCACUGCAUGCUCCUGCUCCUGCAGUCUCUGGAGACAGAACUUCAGAGUGAGUGGGACAAAGGAAAGGGGUCUGCUAUUUGACCUCUGUGAGGUGAGUCAUGAAUUCCAUGCUGCUGUCCAUACACACAGCUUCACUCAGGCGGAUGUAACCUCCCCACAGCUUUAAGUGCUAUUUAUUUUAUAAUUUCUUCAUUUACUCACCUAUCUACUGUAUCUAUCUAGGUUUUUUGACACAGGGUUUCUGGCUGUCCUGGAACUCACUCUGUAGACCAGGCUGGCUUCAAAUUCACAGAGAUCCUCCUGUGUCUGCCUCCCAAGUGCUGGGACUAAGGGCACGCACCACCACCCCUUGGUUAUUUUUACUUUUCAGGGGGAAGUGCUUUGCCUACAAAUGUGCAUGGACACCAGGUGAUACCCGGCUUCUGGGAGCACCAGGUUCCUUGCAACUGGAGUUGCUGGUGGUUGGGAGCUGCCCCCUGAGGACUAGUAAUGGAGCCUGAGUCCUCCUCCACAGUCAGUGCUGUCACCUGCCGAGCCCCGACUUUGGUCUUAGGACUGCGAGGUUUUAUGAGGUUUUACCUGGUUUUGAAGCUGUAGGGCCAAUGCCUUCUGCUCUUCAAUCUGGCGCAAUCUUUCCCGGGCUCGAGAGUCAUAAACACUAGUUCUGGGAAGUGAAAGCAACACAGCCAGUCAGAGUCUCAGCACCGAGCACAUCUCUGCCACAGCAGACAGCCGUGGUCAACGGAGCUCACAGACACAGAAAUUCCACGCAAACCUCACCACAGUUACAUGUCAGGAUACAGUAAGACAACAUGGUAAUUUAAACUGUUUUAUCACCUUUACUGGGCUAAUUUAUAUAUAAUUAGUGUGACUUCUAUGGGUAUUUGUAAAUACGUAGUCCGAUUUCAAAAGCAUGUCUCCUAAUACGACCGGUGAGAGGGAAGCCUUACUCUAGACAUCUAAAGGCAGAACUGAGCCCACAGAGGAAGAGCACGCCAUCAAGGUGGCAGCUUACAUAAUACUCACUGAGACCUACAGAGACCCAGGGCUGCAGACACUCAACAGGCUUUGGCCUUGAAACUAAAUGUUUUCAGUUACUCCUCAAAUGCUCUGAUGCUCUACAGUUUAUGUAACGAUAAAGGCAUUUAUUUUAUUCUUUACAUAGCUACUUUUGCAAUAUUUUCCAAAUCAAUUUAGCUUUAACAACUGUUACAUAGUUGAGAAAUACAGAGCCAGCAAUCUACCUGACACCAGUUAAGAACCCCAGAGGACCUGGGUUCAGUUCCUAUUACCGUUUCGUGCUCACAAGCGCACAUGGUUCGUCUGUGCUUUCAGUUCUAGGGAAUCCUACACCUGCUUCUGGCCUCUGUGAGCACUGCAUGUACAAGAUGCAUACACAGGCAUGCAAAACACUGACACACAUAAAAUAAAAGUAAAUAAAAUCUGAAAAACUAAAUACUGCAACUCUAGGAGAAUCUUAAAAACCCAAUAGGUAAAGAGUACAAAUAGGAAUUUCUUACUGAGUAAAAACAAUUAGGAUAAUUAGCUAGCUGUUUGAUUUCUUCCUAAAUGAAAAGGAAAUGAGAAGAAAAACAUAGUAUCAAAACCAGCAACUUACAAUUCUUUGAUCCAAAGCUCUGCCUGGAAGAAAGUAGGACUAUGGGUGGGGAAGAAAAUAAGCAGAAGGGGUUAGGGAGAAAUUCCAACAUUUUUACAAAUAAAAAAAAUCAUUUCAACAGUCUGUAAGACUCCUUUGCAAUUAUAGAAUAAAAAAUAUCCAAUUGACACAAAGUAACUAAUUUGAAUUUUAAUUGAAUCUACUAAAAAGAUGACCUAAAGAUCAGAGGAGAAUGAAGUUCAGUCUAGCUCUCAACUUGUAUGAGAGAAUAACGUAUGUAAAAAAAAAAAAAUCCUUCUUUUAAGAGGACAUAUUAAGAUAGAAAAUUACUGUUCCCAAAUGAUUCAGGAUGACAGAAUUCUUAAAAGAUUUAACCAACUCUUUAAAUUCUUGACUUCCCAAUGUCAGUCAGAACACAGCUGUUAGAGGACAUGUCCUAGCUGUGGUGCGGCUCAGCCCUAGCACACACCUUCAAUCCCUCUGGCUGGAAUACAGACAUGACCUUAGCAUUCAUCUUUAAUCCCAAACAGGGAAGGUAAAGUUAGUUUGUAGGGGAAGCACCCAUGUUUGAAAGUGAUGUCUAAUUGAGUGGCAGCCAAAGGAAGAAUCAAAGACAGAUUUGACAGAAUAGGAUAUGCCCAACUUUCACGAGGAAAGGAAAGGGAAGCUACUUAACAAUAGAGUUGAGAGGGAGAGUAGAGCAACACAGAGGGAGGAGGAGGGGGGGGCGGCAGUUUUUACUGGGAGAGUUUCAGAUAGAAGAGAGAACAAAAUUGAUACAGGUAAAGACAGAACAAGCAAGAGAAUGAGAAGAAUUCAGAAGACUAGAUAAGACUGUUAGAGUUAGUUUGAGAGCAAGUUGAGCAAUUCAAAGGCCGAAAGAAAAGCCUGACUGAAUAGUCAGGUGGAAGAGGAGUUUGAGUUGAACCAGCCAGCCAAAGAUCAGAAAGAACUGGGAAGAGGAAGCUUAAUCAGUAGCAAUUCUCUGAGGCUGAAUGCAUUUUAAGCCUAGAUAACACUGUAUGGAGGCUAGAAGCUUAGCUUCCUAGGUUAGCAAGACAGAGGUACAGAAAGCCCCCAGACAACACUGACUUCAGGAGAGUAAGUUACAUUUACACAUCUCCAAUCAGAUCUAGUACAUAGUAAAGAUCUCCAUCCACACAAUAUUGCACAUCAAACUGGCUAAGGAGUCACUGAGCUAAGGUGGAGACGUGGCGGGCAGCCCUGCUGCACGGGUCACAGGCAGUCCAUUCCACAGGCUCUUGUGCACAAACCCAGUGAGGAACAGAAGGAGUCACAGGAAUGUUAACUGUUCCGACAGCUUUCCUCCCUCUUAACUGCUUUACCUCCUUGUAAAUCUCUAACUAAAAGACCUAUCACAGAAGCAAAUACAAGAAUCUAAAGGAGACCUUUGUGGUCCUCAGAGCAAGUAAAUCAUUUUCUGAUUCUGAGCAAGUCACUCCAUCUCUAUGGGCUUCAGUUUCAAGAUAUGUAAAAUACAGUGUGGUUAGAGUUCUCUUAAGUCCCCACUCGGCUAUAGGCUGUGACUUGGUAAUACUGUUGUGUCCCCUCAAUGUCAUUUAGGUUAAUAAGGGCUAGUCACCUUUGGCACAAUAAACACCUGAGAGGGCAAGAGAGACAGAAAGCCUGAGAAAUCAUCAGUAGCAGUAUAGUUCUAGUGUGACACACAAACACACAAAGACACACAACCAAAUGAACACAAGAAGAUAUUCAUAAUAUGAUGCAAAGAGGUAAAAAGAAUUACCCAAGAUUUCACAUAACAGGUCAUAAAUUUGUCUGCACUCCUUAUUAAAAUACAAAUUUCAUGAAAAUACAGAUUUUUAUCUAUUUAUAAACGACUGUAUCCUCCUCAAGUAGAAUACUACCUGCUAGAGAGCAGAUCCGUGACUGCUGAAUAAGGAAUAAUGUAGGGGCAAGUACUUCUCUUCAAUGGACUGAGGUAUCUGUUGGCUCAGGAAGGACAAUUAUAAGAGAAAUUGCAUUUCUAGUGAGAUUACACACAGCAGGAAGAGCUACAAGCAUUCUGAGCACAGGUGAUCCUAGUGCCCUAGGAAAACUGCCUUAGUGCUUUUAUAUAUUGCUAAGCCUCAUGAGAUAUCCAUAUUAAUUAAUCUUUAAUAUAAUAUGCAACAUGAAAUUAUUACUCAUACUUUAUGGAAAACCAAACAAAACCAUGCUGAGGCCCAGAAGGAUACAUUGUACUGGACAACAAGUAUUCUAAGUCUUCUCUGUCCAAUCCCAAAGACUACAUUUCCUCAUGCCUCUCAGUGUGCGAACACGUUAAGCAACAAGGAGAACCAAGUACUUGGACCACAGGAAUGCCUUCUAGCUUUCUUGGAUGUCCACUUGUUAGGAAAGAUUUAUUUACUAAACACCCAUAACACUAAAACUAUCACUGGGUGGUUUAAUGCAAAGAUAUAAGUGGUAAAAACACAGUGAGGCCGAGUGUCUAAUGUCAUCUGGGGCUCAGAGUCACCACCUAGAAAAACUACCAUCUGAAUCGGAUUCUGAAAAAGUAAGAGUUCAUCAGAGAUCAAGGAAAGAAUGGGAACUGCAGUCAGAAGAAUCAGGAGUGUCUGAAGUAGAGGUGUGCACACCACAUUCCAGAAGGACAGGGUGAGUCCUCACUGGUGGACUGAAGUAAGAGGCUGUGGCCAGAAGCUGGCCCUAAAGGCUAAUCGUAAUGAGCCCAGCCUUGGGACAGCAGCUUAGCUUCAGCCACAACUACUACUCAUCCCCUCAUCCCUCCAGCUCCCUCUUCAACAGCUCCCUCUUUUCUCCUUCCACCGACCCUUCAGGUCAUUCCUGGGAGAAAUCCUCCAUAAAGGAAAGCCAACACCAACUUCUUCUGGGAGAGAAUGAGAGAGAGAGAGAGAGAGAGAGAGAGAGAGAGAAAUACAUCUGUAAGCACUAAACGCCUUAACUAUACAUUCGUUUUCCUUUCUUCCUUUGAACUAGUCUGGGUUCAAACUCACCGUUAGAGGAGGAUGAGGUGAUCCUCCUGCUUUGGCCCUGUAAGCAUCCGAGUCACAGGGAUGCACCACACAAGCCUAGGGUAAGUUACUCUUCAUACAGUACAGCGUAAGUAAGGUCUUAACGCUCACACUUUUUUUGGCAAGCGAGGUUCAGAAUAACAUGAAGGCCAAAAAAGCUACAAGCGGAAGUCAGACCUGACUCUAAACACCAUGCAAGAAAUAACAAAUCCAAACCAUUCGUUCUCCUCAAAGAAGUAACAGAGAAAACUUUGUAGAAUACCCAAAGCUCAGAGUAAAUAAUGGCGCUGCCAAGCAGGGGAUGGGCUGAGACAGAACAUUGUGUCACCUGCAAUCUUCUCCCAAGAAACUGCUACUGCUAUCUUCCUAGUAGGCAGAUUGCCAAGGCUUUGUAUGAUGAGGACAGCAGUGUGAAUGACUGUCACAGAGAGCGAGUGCCCACACCUCCAGGAAGUGAAGUUGUAGGUGGAGGAGCACAUUUAAACUUGGAUUCACACCAGUGUCAGACAGAAGAAACUGUGAUGUUGAGACAAAAACAUAUACCAUAUUUACAAACCAACAAGUCUAGUAUAUCGAGAUAUACAAAAAGAUCUUUUUACAAACAUAGCUCCUGCCAGGCCGUAGUGGCACGUGCCCUUGUGCCAGCACUCUAGAGGCAGUGGCAGGCAGGCAGAUCUCUGCGAGUUCCAGGACAGCCACGCUACAGAGAAACUGUCUAGAAAAAGGCAAAACAAACUGAGUCAAAACAAAAAGCAACGCCUCCCAUCCCAACUCCCACAAAAACAAAAACAAGACAACAAUAAAAGCCACCAAACAAAUACAGUUCCUUCUUUGACUUCAGUCAGCUGCGGCAUUUGAUCGCAGACUUGUUCCAGCCUUCUUAAGUAAACAGGAUUGUAAUCCGAGUGUCGCUCCCUUCAUUUUUCUUCACAACAUUGACAAUUACCACUUUUUGCUCGCUACUAUUUUGUAGCCUUAUAUAAAAUGCAGCUCCUUGAGAACAGGGAGUCUUAGUCACUGCUGCUGUCCUGAUGUCCAUAUACCAAUACCAAAACCACUGUGGGUUCUCAAUAAAGACUCAUUAGAGGGAAGCGUGCGGGGGAAUGUAAGAUGUGUAUGUGAAAACGUUCUUUUAUAUCACACUAAGGCAUCCUGCCUUAUUGAGUUAUCCUUCAGGUAAUUUAACAACUAAGUGGUCAUUAAACACCUUUAUUGAUUAGAUAUGAAUUUUAGAAAGCUAACUGUGGCUGCAGCAAGGAGGGUAGAGCAUGGACAACUUGGGAUGGUGCACAACAGAAUGAAGAGAGUGAAGACUGGAUGGAAAGAGAACAGGGGGUGGGGGUGGGGUGACCACUGACCCUUCCCUAGGUUUACCUGGAAGCUGGCGUCUGAGAUUCUUUCACUUUGAGUAAAAUCACAGAGUCUGACCCUAAACAAAGAAACACAAGAGCAUUUCAUUGUUAGUAAGCCAGCACUUACCACCCGCCUCUCAUGGAAGUUUAAGCUUCUACAUGCUGUCACGUUAUAGAUACAUCAAAAGCGUAACAUUAAGAACAGGGCAAACAGCAGCAGCUAAGGAUACCAUUAAAGACGGAAAAGAGAGGAAGAGCUCUACUUGUGCCUCAUAAAUAAAGAACCAUUUAGAAACACAAGCUUGUUUGUCCAGCAGCAUCUAUCCUAAGGCUGUGCCUGCUGCGAUCCCUCGUCCCGUUUCUAGGGAACAAGGCAUGUCACGAGUUUUAAGUCUUGAGUCCAUGAUAGAAGAUACACGAAAUUAAAAAGAAGGAAAGGAAAAAAGGGAAGACGAUAACACAGGUAGAACCUAUAAAAAUCAUGGCAGAAGCACAGACUUGACCACUGUGUAUUCUGAACGCUGAGAGCAGGGUUCAUGACCUUCUCUAAGGGUGUGACUGCGCACUCACUCACACCAGAGCAGGCCGCAAUGCCACGCCCGCACGAUGUUGUUCCCGUCCAGUUCCGUCUCACUAUCCUACUUCACCAUAUACAUUUCUGAGGUUGGAGAAUUUUUAAUUUUAGAUUUUUGGAAAAUAAGAUAGUUCUCAGUAAAUCAUUUCAUAAAAUGUAAUAUAAGCAAUGUAUAGUUAAACAGUGAUACCACCAAAAGUUGAAUCCCCAAGUAAGAAGUUUCAGAAAGUGAGUAGGGUAACAAUAGCAAUAACAGUAACAACAACAACGACAACAGUAAAUCAAAUGAACUGAGAAAGGAGGUAGGUGCUGUGUAGGUCAAGAGUCCUACUAUCCAACCACUUAAUCUAAACCUUGCUUUCCAUUAUAAUCUGAAUACGUAUUUUAAAAUGAGGAUAAUUACAUAACAAAAUCUUUACCAGCACCAGUGCUUAGGCCAAGUGUUUAGGUUAGCUCAAAGUCAGGCAGGAGAUUCUUGUUUCUAGAAUGUUCAACUACUCUGAAAUGCAUGAAGCAUCUAUCAAAACUGAGAGACAGAUGACAAAUCCUUGACUAAUGUCUGAAAGUUCACAGAACCCCAGAGAAGCCCCCACGUGCAUUGUACAGUAAAAGAAACAAAAUGCGGUCCCUGGGGCAGUGGGGCUGAGUGGGCUUUGACUCGUCUCAGGAAGUUAACACAUAGCAUGGGAGAGGGUCCUGUAACCCCAGCCUCUGUCUGGUAAGACUGUCCUGAGUUCAAGGCCAGCCUACCACAUAACAAGUGCCCAGCAGGCAGGGGCACAUACAUGGACACUUUUAAAAAAAUAAAUAAAAUAGUAUAGCAAGUCAUUUGUAUGUAGGGGGAAGUAACAACCUUUAAAGAAGGGGGAGGGAGUGUGAGAGAAAGGAGAUGAGAGGAAUGACUUUGACUGUGGGCUUGGUUUCAUCAUGGUAUAGCUACCUGGGCCACAUGCACUUAAUUAAAAUCCACUAUGUCCUAAGCUAUAUGCACUACGGUUUUGCCUGCAACAGAGCCAAUGACAGCUGACUGACGGUUAGCACUGUUUACCUUCAGACUGUGGAUUUGAUGCUGGUAAACUGUCUGGCUGAUGAGGUGCAGAGAGGUGAUGGUGAAGAGCGGAGUCUUUGGAUCCAAAGGCAACAUCUGGGGUACCAGAUAUCAGGGAAUGUGCACUGUGGGACAACUGUUCCUGUGCAGUUAAAAUGCUGGCAGAUCCAGAGGACGAAGUAUCAGAACCAAUGACAUGAGAUGCACAAGAGUUCCCGUUUCUCAACAGUGAGUCUUUCAAAGAGUUCUUAUUGGAACUAAGACACCGAGACCUAGUAAAAGAAGGGUAUGGUUUCAAUAUCAAGUAACACACUGUAGAGUUAAGUUCAUAUGAAAGGAGCGUUUGUGACUCACAGAUGUAAAGGGAAAUGUGUGGUGGGCUUGGCUACGGAGAACUGCUUCCCUGUGACCAUCUGCAGCAGCUGCCUGUAGAUCUCCUUUUCUUCUUCUUGAACUGUCUAUGAGGGAGAGAGAAAAACAUCUUAACCUUGUCCAAUGAGGCAAAGACUCCUCAAAUGGACAUGUAGGUCUCAGGCUUUCUGCCAAAGCUCUAGCAGUCCUGAAGAUACAGAGCUACCGUGUGUUAAUGACACUGUCGAGGUACUGUGCAUGGGUGAGCAGAGUCAGACAGCAGGGCCUGGGAAAUCAUGGUGAGCGCCAGUGCAGAGAAGCUAUGGACUGGGAGCCAGAAAGCCAGGAAGCAUUUAUCUAAUCACUCACAUUAUGAUGAGUCCAGAACUACAGCUUCUAAAGCAGAAUCCUGAGGAACCCGUGAGUCCCGAUGCUGCCUUCUAAAGUCCUGAGGAGAGAAGCUGAGUCAAGGGCCACCGGAGGUACCUUGCCAACAGCUCCUUACUCUAUGCAGGUGCAAGAAUUNNNNNNNNNNGUUACUGUAUAGCCUUUGCUGGCCUUGAGCUUGAUGUUCUUGCCUCAGCCUUCCAGUGCUGAAGUUACAGGCGUCCUCAACCAGCCACACCUGGCAAGAGAAGUCUUCUAAUCUGGAAACUGUGAACCCUCAGCCCUCAGGAGAGGGCCUGAGAUGGAUCAGGGAGUUCUAGCUGCACACAUCCUGAGCGCCUAAGCCCUCAGAAUGCCCACCAUGCACACAGAGACCCCAUUCUCCCCAAGACCAAGUCCUCCGCUAUUGGGGACCAUGGCCUGUCUCCUCACCUUAGUCCUUGGGUGUGCGCUUAUUGGUCCCCUGGAAUCUCAAAGGGCCUGAGGCCUUAGGCUCCUUUAAGGUCUCUGCCCCAGGCAUGGUGCUCAAUAUCUUGGCCAAAUAAGUUAACUUUCCUUGAGUAUCCAGGAAUUUAAACUAAAGCAAUGAGUCGUCUGUCACCUUGCCCUGGAACUGCAGUGUAGCCGGCCUUAGUGUUCCUUGUGUUGUCUGCUUUGAUGUAAAACCACAGGUGUAUGGAGGCAGAGGCUGCAGUCCUCUGUACACACAGUAGGCCUUCACUUUACCACAGUCCUGAAUGAGGCAUGUGUACAUGGGUCAUGAGAUUGAUCCCAAGGAAGAGACUGCAGACACAUGAAGAUUUUUAGUCCUAAAUGCUGUUUUGUUUACUUCCCGUCAAGAUAUCAACCCCUGUCAAAUUCAAACUAUAGUACUGUGUAAUUAUGUAUAAAGGUUUUUUUAUUUAUUUGAAAUUAGAUUAGAUAUACAUUUUUAAAUUUAACAUCUGGCUGGACAGUGUUCUAUUAACUCAUUGAAUGUGUUUCUUUUGUCUUGUGUUAAUAAAUAUUGAUGCCUGAU
rnacentral:lncRNA from 1 species